rnacentral:lncRNA from 1 species
UUAAUUUUACCCCUCUACUCCUAAUGAACACAUUGCAUUGUGAUUGUAUGCUUGAUUAGGUAAGCAAUAAAUCUCUUUCACUCACAAAAAGGUAGAAAUUGCAAUGCGGCCAUCCCAGCAUAUCAAAACAUUUCUGGUUGUGGCGAUGACCUUUUUUCCCAUAUGAUCCUAGAAAAUGGAUCGGGUUCCACUAUCAAGGGAUAACGAAACAACAAAUGCACAAAAAACAUCCCAGUGCAAGAACAUAGCCUAAAACUGGUUUCAACUGCUAACAACAAAAGCUAAUGGAUCCAAAUCUACUGCAAGUUGACUUGGGGUUCACAAUCAUCCCAAGCAAAAUGUUUUCGAUCACUAGCAUCAUCAUUCAGAAAACUCCAUUGCAUCGUUCCUCGUCCAGUAUUUCUCCAUUAGUUCACCUUCACCCACUUCUUGCUCCUCAUUUUCUCCAGCAUUACUCGCCUCGAUCCUCAACACAAGAUUUCUUGGCUCCGUGCGCCCACCAACAUGAUGUGCCAAUGCUUCUCGCUUCAAAGCAACAACACCUUGUUCCAGAAUCGCACACUCUUCAUUAUUUUGUAGAUUUGCCCAAUAAAGGAUAAACAUGCAUGCAUAACAAACGAAUUCAGCAAGAGAUCUAGUAAUUUUUUUCUCAAAACAAUAUCUAUUACAUAACUUGGAUGGGAAUGUAGUGGCUUAUCGUGAAGGUGAUGCACUCAUGGACUUGUAGUAGAGCUGGUAGCUGCCACAACAGCUUCCCUAUAUGUGGGUGGCCUUGAGGCAGGCGUCGCAGAGGGGCAUCUCUCCUCCAUCUCCUAUUAGGUCACAUCUGUGGAGUCCCUCGGUGUCUACCAUGACGUUGCUAUCAGGUCCCAUGGCUAUGGCUACUUUCAAGUUCCACUCACAGAUUGAUGAUGAGAUCUGAUCUAUUAGAUCCCAAAAUACCUAAAGCAUUAUAUCUCUGUGAGCAUGCAUGCUAAAGGUAGCAGAUCAAACCCAAACAAACAAGUAAAAAAGACCAAGACACUCACCGUCCUCUUGGGGUGGAAAUUGAUGUAGUCAUAGCCACACGACCUGUAAGCAAAUUUGUGGCAGAUGCGCAAGGAAGCCACGGGAGCGACCUGGUCAUCGAUCUAGAAGAGUUGGCCCUCCGUAACACCUGUCUCUUGGUCAUCAUUGAGGCCAGGAAUGGCUGGUUUGUCAUUGCUACCGAUGGUCGCCAAACCAAUGGAUCUAGGAGGUGGCGACGUCAUCAGAGCCAGGGUGGAACGCUUGCCAUUGGUAGUCGUUGUUCACUAACCCGAGGAGUGAAGAUUACUAUACUAUGGGUAACCGGCUGGUCUAGUUGUAUCGACUAUAUAUUGAGUCCUCUCUUAUCGACAUCGAGUCCUCUUGUCCGCCGGAUGCUCUCUCCGGUAUGCUUUUGUAUAGGUGCUAAUUAAUGAAAUUUAUUUGCUACCUUUUAGAUAGGCUUCAGGUGUAAUUGUUAGAGACGCGUAUUUUUUGUGUAUCUGCAUGCUGGAGAGUUGCGGCAAUUGGGUCCACAUUCUAGUCUAUAUGCGUGUGAUGGGCUGCUGCAUGUAGGUAGAUAUGGACUACAAAGUUCUUCUAUCUAUUUAGUGCGAUAUCACUACUAAUUAAUGUUUGAGAUAGAGUAGAUAUCACUACAAAUUAAUGUUUGAGAUAGAUUAGAUCAACUUUUACCACAUCGUGGUCAAUGAUCGUUGACUCGUGAGGGGUCCCUCGCCGCCUUUCUUGGUCAAGGCAUCUCCAACACCGACCCUCAAGCCUCCUGCAUCCGCCCGGACAGUGAAAGCUAUCCAACGUGCUCCUGUAUCGGUACGAGGCGCGGUCCAGAUGUAUACUUUCUCCUGCAAAUGGGAGACAAACGUGGGGAGUGGGAGGGGGGCUUUGCGGGAGUCUGCACCGCUCCCACGCCCGCUUCUGACCACCCUGGCCCGCCCAAACCUCCUUCUGCAUCCCGCGCGCUUCCCGCCCGACGCCAACUGCCCACAUUCACGCCGCUGUAGAGCGCGGCGCCCCACAUAUUGAAGCGGCGCACCCCCCGAUGACGCCGGCCACUGCACGCCCGACUGAACACGUCUCCAUUAAACCCGUGUGAAAGCUGAGGAACCUACUCCAGCCACACGUUCGUUCACGAGCGGGCCGACAUUAAAUGCAACGCCGGGAAAGCUCCUCCCAUGUGCCCUCUAUUUAAACAAGGCCAGACGUCGGGCAAGAAACGCACCACUCCGCCGCUCCCCAUCUCAUCCUUCCACAAUUUUCUUCGCCCUUUUGAUGGCAUCCGGUGAGCACUAAGAGCAUUUCCCCCGCAUAAAAGCCAGCUAGGUGUCCCACCGAGCCCGCCGAAUACGAGUGAUGCCGCUCACUGCUCCACCUCCCUCGUCUGGCCCGACGGAGCAAGUUGCCACCCCAAACUGACGCAUGGUUCACCACCUCGCCGCUCCAAGCCAGCUCACAAGGGAGCGGCCAUUUGCUCUAGGACGACACGACGACAUAGGCAUCGUAGCACCCAUGGUGACGCUGCGUCAUACUGCGUCUCUGAUGCCUAGGACCGUGCCAUCCGCCAGCAACGCGUGUGUAGCCGUGCGCUGCUGGCAGAGAAAGAAGCUGGCAGCAUAGAGAUCGAUGAGUCGGUGGAUGGCACGUCCACGUCCGCCGCCAACAUCGAGGGAAAGUAGAACACGGAGUAUAGCUGAUGACCUGUCCGGUUCUUCUUUAUCUCAGACCAUCAUUGGCCCCGCCUAGGCUCCACGAAAGCGGAGCCCCCCCUUCCCUCCAGCUGAAGCACCCUCUUUGCCACCGCGAUGAGUGGCGCGACCAAACAUAGGGAAGAUACGAGGGAAGAAUAUACCUCUGGGGCUCCCGACAGUCCGGGUAGUGGGCUGCCGGACAUGGAGAAGACAAAGGGAUCCUUCGCGUCCAGCCGUAGACUAGUGUAGUGUUUCUGUGUCGUGGGAGUGGAGCUCCACGCGACUGUAUGUGCACAUAGUUUUAUCUUUUUUGUUAAAAAUAUGUCCAAAUUGUAACUGUUUUCGUCCAGUUUGAAUGAAAUCCAUCAUGUUUAUAUGAAAUCCACCCAUGUUUGCAUGAAUUUCAUCCGGUUUGCUGAAAAAAUGUUUGCAAUGUAUGCGGCUACGAUUGGAUAGCGGCCUCCCGCAUCCGUUUGCUGGCUGCUAUUGGAGAUGCCCUCAAGCCAGCGUUUGGGCGGGUGUAAGGUGUCCCAUCAUCGGUACAGACAAAGUAUUGUAGGAUUUCUGAUCAAUAGAACUGGAAAGUCUCCGGGUGUGGAAACAUCCUCAUAAUCUUUACUACUCCAUCAUGAUUUAUAUGCCUCGCACAUAUUUCAAUAUAAACAUUGAAAAUUAAUUUAUUCAACAAAAUAUUAGUUAUAUGUCACAAAAACAAAACGUUAGAUUCACAUUCUAAACAAGUUUCCAAUGGUAUAGUUUUUGUGACAUAUAACUCAUAUUUUAUUGAUAAAUCAACGUACAUUUUUUUAUUGAAAUGCUUAAGACUUAUGAAUCAUGUUAGAGGUUAGACUCCACGAAUGACGAAAUUUAUCCCCAAGGUAUCUCUGACAAAAUUGUUACUCUAAUGUCACUUAUCAACAUGUGAUCCAAGUCAUAGCAAUAUCCAACCAAUAAUCCAAUGAAUAACGUAAUCAUAUCAUUUCCACUUACUCCGUAAGCAAUAAUAUCAAAUAUGAUCAUAUGAAAAUAUAGCUAAUGACCCUACUAAUCCGAUGGUAACAUGCCAAUAUCCAACUUGUAAACUACUCUACUAGUCACAAGAAAUCCAAGCAAUAACACGGCAAGAGAUAAUUCUAAUAAUUCCUCCAAGAUUGCCAUGAAUAAAUCAUCAUCAAGUAAUUCAAAAUAAAUCGAGUUUUAUUAUAUUAACCAUGGAAUUUCAUUGCAAUUAUGCAAGUGGAGGUUGUGGCUUGCCUUGCUCCAAGCGAGUGUUGCGAGUACUCUUGGUCUUCAUCAAACAGUGCUAACACUCUGGAAAACAAUAUUAACAAGCAAAAUAAAUUCUCUAUCUAGAAAUUCUAGACAACAAAGAAAAGUGUGAAACUCUACCAGAAAAUAAAGGAGCUCACAAGAGAAAAAAAUGCAAAAAGAAUCAACUCAUUUGGACUUGUAGUUUAGGAGCAAUGGAUGGUGAAAGUUGUGGUCAAACUGGAUUAAAAUAGCGUUAAAAUGGAUUUUCUGGAAUCUCCAUGGGCCGACGUCGAAGACUUAAACAAGGAAUACACUUUGACUUAAAUAUUUGGAUAUAUCUUCAAACAUGAUAUUUAAGAAUAGGAGAUUAAAUUGAAGAAGCCAUUGUUAACAAUGACAAAAGCAACAUGUGGGCAUGGAUCAAAACAAGGGAUAUUUACUUUGACAGUCUAAAAUUUGUGAUGUAUCUUGAGUCCAAACUGUAACGACUCUCAUGUUUAACGACGAUUGAGGUGUUUGGAAGUAUUGUUUGAAUACAUCCUCAAACAUAAUAUUUUUUAAAAAUUAAGUGAACAAAACAAAAAAAAUAUUGUGUGGGUUGGGGUGAAGUGUGUGUGGGGGAGGGGGUGGGGGGUGGGGGGGAUUAUUAUCGGAUAGUAUAUUUCACCUAAUUUUGUAACGCAAGCAUCCUGGUCAAUAUGUCCUCAAGAUACAUUCACACCUUUCCCCUCCCGGGCCGCUCGCGCGGGCGGCUCCGGAAGAAAAAACCUAGAUCCAAGCGCCCCUCCUCCCGAAGACAUCCUGGCCGCCGCCGUCGCCGCCGGCGGCGGUGGCGGCGCCCGGCUGCCAAAGGCAGCGGGCAAGAUCUGCACGCCCUGACAUGGCUCCUUCGCGCGGGCGAGCACCGUCUUGUGGGCGUCGUGACCGCUGGCGGUUCUGGUGCGGUGGCGCGCGGCAGAGAGCACUGGAGGAGGAGGAGCACGGUCGCGAGGUGGAGAGGGGUGGCGGUCUUCCUCGGGCGCCGGCGUGUGUGUCGGAGGCCGCGGCGCGGGGUCCCUGGCGGCUGCAGAUCUUGGAAUGGAGUGGUGACCGGGCGCGGCGGCCGGGAGUUGCGGUGGUGUCCGGGGCGUGCGGUGUGCUUCCUGCCGGCGCUAGAGUGGCUCGGGGAAGGCAGCGCCUUGGAUUGCUAGUGGCAGGGAUGUAGCUGGCAUGUAGGCAUUGGGGUCAAUUGACCCCAAUGGAUUUACUAAAUCCUUCAUUAUCUUAGUACUAAUCACUGUUGAUUUAUAGAAGAUGACCCCAUUGCCAUGGAUAUGACCCCAUCAAGCUUUUUUCUAGCUUCGUCCCUGGCUGGUGGUGGCGCGGUCAGGAUCUGGCCAGAGCUCGGUUCAGGAAAUCGCAAAGGGAGCACCUUGGUGGUGCGUGCGUUCGCUGGAGGCGCAGUGCGCUGGCUCCUCCCGUCCGUGCCCCUGGUCGCAGCGGCUUGGCUGGCUGCCAGAGUGGUUUGGCCAGCCCACGCCUGUGGUGCCGGCGGGUCUUGGCAGCGCCAGGGAGGGUGGCUUGGAGCUGGUGACGUUUGUCUUUCGACCGUGCAGGAGCUGGAGGUUGGCCGGCGUGGUCUCGGCUGUGUGAUGGGUCGGUGUUCCGCGACGGUUUUGGCCAUGAUGGCAAGGCGCUGCUGCAACGACGGUGUAACCCUGACAGAUUAGCCCAAUCCUUGGAUAGGGGUGGGAGGUGUGCGACUGUUGGAUGAAAAUCCUGCUCGUGUCUUCGGCCGGAGCUGGCGGCGACGGUGCCUGAGGGAGUCGUUUCCCUCCUUGGAGGUGUCGCUGAGGUGUGUCGGCAUCUCCCCUUCUUGAUCGGGAUGUGGUCUCCAGGCGAAAGCCUUGGUCUAUUGUAGGACUGGCGAUGGCGACGGUAUAACGUCGUUACUCUAUUGAGAGCAUCGUAGGCGGAGACUUGGCUUGCUGAUUCUGUCUGGUGGUUCUCCGGUGCUUGCCGCUGGUUCGAGUCGAUCUUUGUGGGCGCUAUGUACGUAGCCGCCGGUGAACUGAAGACGAUGGCUUUCUCGGGACCGACCGAGUCCCGCUACCCACCCGCCGUCUCCUCUUAGGCAUUCAAAGGUGGUAGUGCGUGUUGGAAAUAUGCCCUAGAGGCAAUAAUAAAAGGGUUAUUAUUAUAUUUCCUUGUUCAUGAUAAUUGUCUUUUAUUCAUGCUAUAACUGUAUUAUCCGGAAAUCGUAAUACACAUGUGAAUACAUAGACCAUAACAUGUCCCUAGUGAGCCUCUAGUUGACUAGCUCGUUGGUCAACAGAUAGUCAUGGUUUCUGACUAUGGACAUUAGAUGUCAUUGACAACGGGAUCACAUCAUUAGGAGAAUGAUGUGAUGGACGAGACCCAAUCCUAAGCAUAGCACAAGAUCGUGUAGUUAGUUUUGCUAGAGCUUUUCCAAUGUCAAGUAUCUCUUCCUUAGACCAUGAGAUCGUGUAACUCCCGGAUACAGUAAGAGUGCUUUGGGUGUACCAAACGUCACAACGUAACUGGGUGACUAUAAAGGUGCACUACAGGUAUCUCCGAAAGUGUCUGUUGGGUUGACAUGGAUCGAGACUGGGAUUUGUCACUCCGUAUGACGGAGAGGUAUCUCUGGGCCCACUCGGUAAUGCAUCAUCACAAUGAGCUCAAAGUGACCAAGUGUUUGGUCACGGGAUCAUGCAUUACGAUACGAGUAAAGUGACUUGCCGGUAACGAGACUGAACGAGGUAUUGGGAUACCGACGAUCGAGUCUCGGGCAUGUAACGUACCGAAUGAGAAAGGGAAUUGUAUACGGGGUUGUUCUAAUCCUCGACAUCGUGGUUCAUCCGAUGAGAUCAUCGAGCAGCAUGUGGGAGCCAACAUGGGUAUCCAGAUCCCGCUGUUGGUUAUUGCCCGAGAGCCGUCUCGGUCAUGACUACGUGUCUCCCGAACCCGUAGGGUCUACACACUUAAGGUUCGGUGACGCUAGGGUUGUAUGAAUAUGAGUAUGCAGUAUACCGAAUGUUGUUUGGAGUCCCGUAUGAGAUCCCGGACGUCACGAGGAGUUUCGGAAUGGUCCGGAGGUAAAGAAUUAUAUAUAGGAAGUGGUAUUUCGGCCAUCGGGAAAGUUUCGGGGUCACCCGGUAUUGUACCGGGACCACCGGAAGGGUCCCGGGGGUCCACCGGGUGGGGCCACCCAUCCCGGAGGGCCCCAUGGGCUGAAGUGGGAGGGGAGCCAGCCCAUAGUGGGCUGGUGCGCCCCCCUAGGCCCACCCCCUGCGCCUAGGGUUGAAACCCUAGGGUGGGGGGCGCACCACAUGCCUUGGGGGGCACUCCUCCCCCCUUGGCCGCCGCCCCCUUGGGAGAUUGAAUCUCCCAGGGCCGGCGCCCCCCCUUGGGGGCCUAUAUAAAGGGAGGGGGGAGAGGGGCAGCCGCACCCUGAAGUCCUGGCGCCCCCUCCCCCUGCUACACCUCUUCCUCCUCCGUCACGUGCUUGGCGAAGCCCUGCCGGACUGCUGCUGUUCCACCACCACCACGCCGUUGUGCUGCUGCUGGAGCCAUCAUCAUCAACCUCUCCUCCCCCCUUGCUGGAUCAAGAAGGAGGAGACGUCACACGCACCGUACGUGUGUUGAACGCGGAGGUGCCGUCCGUUCGGCGCUAGGAUCUCCGGUGAUCUGAAUCACGGCGAGUACGACUCCAUCAUCACCGCUCCCUCUAACACUUCCGUAUGGGAUCUACAAGUGGUAUGUAGAUGCAAACUCACUCCCUUGACUCAUUGCUUAGAUGAACUCAUAGAUGGAUCUUGGUGAAACCGUAGGAAAAUUUUUAAUUUUCUGCAACGUUCCCCAACAGUGGCAUCAUGAGCUAGGUCUAUGCGUAGUUCUCUAUUGCACGAGUAGAACACAAUUUUGUUGUGGGCGUAGAUCUUGUCAACUUGCUUGCCGCUACUAGUCUUAUCUUGCUUUAGCGGUAUUGUGGGAUGAAGCGGCCCGGACCAACCUUACACGUACGCUUACGUGAGACCGGUUCCACCGACUAACAUGCACUAGUUGCAUAAGGUGGCUGGCGGGUGUCUGUCUCUCCCACUUUAGUUGGAGCGGAUUCGAUGAAAAGGGUCCUUAUGAAGGGUAAAUAGAAGUUGACAAAAUCACGUUGUGGUUAUUCGUAGGUAAGAAAACGUUCUUGCUAGAACCCAAUUGCAGCGACGUGAAAGAUGCAACAACAAUUAGAGGACGUCUAACUUGUUUUUGCAGCAAUUGUCAUGUGAUGUGAUAUGGCCAGAAGUUGUGAUGAAUGAUGAAUGAUAUAUUGUGAUGUAUGAGAUCAUGUUCUUGUAAUAGGAAUCACGACUUGCAUGUCGAUGAGUAUGAAAACCGGCAGGAGCCAUAGGAGUUGUCUUUAUUUUUGUAUGACCUGCGUGUCAUUGAAGAAUGCCAUGUAAACUACUUUACUUUAUUGCUAAACGCGUUAGUCAUAGAAGUAGAAGUAGUCGUUGGCGUGACAACUUCAUGAAGACAUGAUGAUGGAGAUCAUGAUGAUGGAGAUCAUGGUGUCAUGCCGGUGACAAGAUGAUCAUGGAGCCCCGAAGAUGAAGAUCAAAGGAGCUAUAUGAUAUUGGCCAUAUCAUGUCACUACUUUAUAUAAUUGCAUGUGAUGUUUAUUAUGUUUUAUGCAUCUUGUUUACUUAGAACGACGGUAGUAAAUAAGAUGAUCCCUUGCAACAAUUUCAAGAAGUGUUCUCCCCUAACUGUGCACCGUUGCUAAAGUUCGUCGUUUCGAAGCACCACGUGAUGAUCGGGUGUGAUAGAUCCUUACGUUCACAUACAACGGGUGUAAGACAGUUUUACACAUGCAAAACACUUAGGGUUAACUUGACGAGCCUAGCAUGUACAGACAUGGCCUCGGAACACGGAGACCGAAAGGUCGAACACGAGUCGUAUGGAAGAUACGAUCAACAUGAGAAUGUUCACUGACGAUGACUAGUCCGUCUCACGUGAUGAUCGGACACGGCCUAGUCAACUCGGAUCGUGUAACACUUAGAUGACUGAGGGGAUGUCAAAUCUGAGUGGGAGUUCAUUAAAUAAUUUGAUUGGAUGAACUUAAUUAUCAUGAACUUAGUCUAAAAUCUUUGCAAAAUAUGUCUUGUAGAUCAAAUGGCCAACGCUCAUGUCAACAUGAACUUCAACGCGUUCCUAGAGAAAACCAAGCUGAAAGAUGAUGGCAGCAACUAUACGGACUGGGUCCGGAACCUUAGGAUCAUCCUCAUAGCUGCCAAGAAAGCAUAUGUCCUUGAAGCACCAUUAGGUGACCCACCUACUCUCCCAGCACUGCAAGACGAUUUGAACGUUUGGCAGACACGUGCUGAUGAUUACUCCCUCGUUCAGUGCGGCAUGCUUUACAGCUUAGAACCGGGGCUCCAAAAGCUUUUUGAGCAACACGGGGCAUAUGAGAUGUUCGAGGAGCUGAAACUAGUUUUCCAAGCUCAUGCCCGGGUCGAGAGAUAUGAAGUCUCCAACAAGUUCUAUAGUUGUAAGAUGGAGGAAAACAGUUCUGUCAGUGAGCAUAUACUCAAAAUGUCUGGGUUGCACAGCCGCCUGUCCCAGCUGGACAUUAACCUCCUGGAUGAGGCGGUCAUUGACAGAAUCCUUCAGUCGCUCCCACCAAGCUACAAGAGCUUUGUGAUGAACUAUAAUAUGCAGGGGAUGGUGAAGACCAUUCCUGAAGUAUUUUCAAUGCUGAAGUCGGCAGAGGUUGAAAUCAAGAAAGAACAUCAAGUGUUGAUGGUUAAUAAGACCACUAAGUUCAAGAAGGGCAAGGGUAAGAAGAACUUCAAGAAGGACGGCAAAGAUGUUGCCGCGCCCGGUAAGCCAGUUGCCGGGAAGAAGUCAAAGAAUGGACCCAAGCCUGAGACUGAGUGCUUUUAUUGCAAGGGGAAGGGUCACUGGAAGCGGAACUGCCCCAAAUACUUAGCGGAUAAGAAGGCCGGCAACAGUAAAGGUAUAUUUGAUAUACAUGUAAUUGAUGUGUACCUUACCAAUACUCGUAGUAACUCCUGGGUAUUUGAUACCGGUGCCGUUGCUCAUAUUUGUAACUCAUAGCAGGAGCUGCGGAAUAAGCGGAGACUGGCGAAGGACGAGGUGACGAUGCGCGUCGGGAAUGGUUCCAAGGUCGAUGUGAUCGCCGUCGGCACACUACCUCUACAUUUACCUACGGGAUUAGUUAUAAACCUUAAUAAUUGUUAUUUGGUGCCAAGUUUGAGCAUGAACAUUGUAUCUGGAUCUCGUUUGAUACGAGAUGGAUACUCAUUUAAAUCCGAGAAUAAUGGUUGUUCUAUUUAUAUGAGAGAUAUGUUUUAUGGUCAUGCCCCUAUGGUCAAUGGUUUAUUCUUAAUGAAUCUCGAGCGUAAUGUUACACAUAUUCAUAGCGUGAAUACCAAAAGAUGUAAAGUUGAUAACGAUAGUCCCACAUACUUGUGGCACUGCCGCCUUGGUCACAUUGGUGUCAAGCGCAUGAAGAAGCUCCAUGCUGAUGGACUUUUGGAGUCUCUCGAUUAUGAAUCAUUUGACACAUGCGAACCAUGCCUCAUGGGCAAAAUGACCAAGACUCCGUUCCCCGGAACAAUGGAGCGAGCAACCAACUUGUUGGAAAUCAUACACACCGAUGUGUGCGGUCCAAUGAGUGUUGAGGCUCGCGGAGGAUAUCGUUAUGUUCUCACUCUCACUGAUGACUUGAGUAGAUAUGGGUAUGUCUACUUGAUGAAACACAAGUCUGAGACCUUUGAAAAGUUCAAGGAAUUUCAGAAUGAAGUAGAGAAUCAACGUGACCGAAAGAUAAAAUUCUUACGAUCGGAUCGUGGAGGAGAAUAUUUAAGUCACGAAUUUGGUACACACUUAAGAAAAUGUGGAAUCGUUUCACAACUCACGCCGCCUAGAACACCUCAGCGAAACGGUGUGUCCGAACGUCGUAAUCGCACUCUAUUGGAUAUGGUGCGGCCUAUGAUGUCUCUUACCGAUUUACCGCUAUCAUUUUGGGGAUACGCUCUAGAGACAGCUACAUUCACUUUAAAUAGGGCACCGUCUAAAUCCGUUGAGACGACACCGUAUGAAUUAUGGUUUGGGAAGAAACCUAAGUUGUCGUUUCUAAAAGUUCGGGGAUGCGAUGCUUAUGUCAAGAAACUUCAACCUGAAAAGCUCGAACCCAAGUCGGAAAAAUGUGUCUUCAUAGGAUACCCUAAAGAAACCAUUGGGUAUACCUUCUACUUAAGAUCCGAGGGCAAGAUCUUUGUUGCCAAGAACGGAUCCUUUCUGGAAAAAGAGUUUCUCUCGAAAGAACUAAGUGGGAGGAAAGUAGAACUCGAUGAAGUACUACCUCUUGAACAGGAUAGUAGUGCAGCUCAGGAAAAUGUUCCUGUGAUGCCUACACCAACUGAAGAGGAAAAUAAUGAUGAUGAUCAAGGUACUUCUGAUCAAGUUACUACUGAACUUCGUAGGUCCACAAGGACACGUUCCGCACCAGAGUGGUACGGCAACCCUGUCCUGGAAAUCAUGUUGUUAGACAACCGUGAACCUUCGAACUAUGAAGAAGCGAUAGCGGGCCCAGAUUCCAACAAAUGGCUUGAAGCCAUGAAAUCCGAGAUAGAAUCCAUGUAUGAAAACAAAGUAUGGACUUUGACUGACUUGCCCGAUGAUCGGCGAGCGAUAGAAAACAAAUGGAUCUUUAAGAAGAAGACGGACGCGGAUGGUAAUGUCACCAUCUAUAAAGCUCGACUUGUCGCUAAGGGUUAUCGGCAAGUUCAAGGGAUUGACUACGAUGAGACUUUCUCUCCCGUAGCGAAGCUUAAGUCCGCCCGAAUCAUGUUAGCAAUUGCCGCAUACUAUGAUUAUGAGAUAUGGCAAAUGGACGUCAAAACGACAUUCCUUAACGGUUAUCUUAAGGAAGAGCUAUAUAUGAUGCAGCCGGAAGGUUUUGUCGAUCCUAAGAACGCUAACAAAGUAUGCAAGCUCCAGCGAUCCAUUUAUGGGCUGGUGCAAGCAUCUCGGAGUUGGAACAUUCGCUUUGAUGAGAUCAUCAAAGCGUUUGGGUUUAUGCAGACUUAUGGAGAAGCCUGCGUUUACAAGAAAGUGAGUGGGAGCUCUGUAGCGUUUCUCAUAUUAUAUGUAGAUGACAUACUUUUGAUGGGAAAUGAUAUAGAUUCUUGGACAGCAUUAAGGCCUACUUGAAUAAGUGUUUUUCAAUGAAGGACCUUGGAGAAGCUGCUUACAUAUUAGGCAUCAAGAUCUAUAGGGAUAGAUCGAGACGCCUCAUAGGUCUUUCACAAAGCACAUACCUUGAUAAGAUUUUGAAUAAGUUCAAAAUGGAUCAGUCCAAGAAAGGGUUCUUGCCUGUAUUGCAAGGUGUGAGAUUGAGCUCGGCUUAAUGCCCGACCAUGGCAAAAGAUAAAGAAGAGAUGAUCGUCAUCCCCUAUGCCUCAGCCAUAGGAUCUAUUAUGUAUGCCAUGCUAUGUACCAGACCUGAUGUAAACCUUGCCGUAAGUUUGGUAGGAAGGUACCAAAGUAAUCCCGGCAAGGAACACUGGACAGCGGUCAAGAAUAUCCUGAAGUACCUGAAAAGGACAAAGGACAUGUUUCUCGUUUAUGGAGGUGAUGAAGAGCUCGUCGUAAAGGGUUACGUCGAUGCUAGCUUCGACACAGAUCUGGAUGACUCUAAGUCACAAACCGAAUACGUGUAUAUGUUGAAUGGUGGAGCAGUAAGCUGGUGCAGCUGCAAGCAGAGCGUCGUGGCGGGAUCUACAUGUGAAGCGGAGUACAUGGCAGCCUCGGAGGCAUCGCAUGAAGCUAUUUGGGUGAAGGAGUUCAUCACCGACCUAGGAGUCAUACCCAAUGCGUCGGGGCCGAUCAAACUCUUCUGUGACAACACUGGAGCUAUUGCCCUUGCCAAGGAGCCCAGGUUUCACAAGAAGACCAGGCACAUCAAGCAUCGUUUCAACUCCAUCUGAGAAAAUGUUCAAGAUGGAGACAUAGAUAUUUGCAAAGUACAUACGGAUCUGAAUGUCGUAGAUCCGUUGACUAAACCUCUCUCGCGAGCAAAACAUGAUCAACACCAGAACUCUAUGGGUGUUCGAUUCAUCACAAUGUAACUAGAUUAUUGACUCUAGUGCAAGUGGGAGACUGUUGGAAAUAUGCCCUAGAGGCAAUAAUAAAAGGGUUAUUAUUAUAUUUCCUUGUUCAUGAUAAUUGUCUUCUAUUCAUGCUAUAAAUGUAUUAUCCGGAAAUCGUAAUACACGUGUGAAUACAUAGACCAUAACAUGUCCCUAGUGAGCCUCUAGUUGACUAGCUCGUUGGUCGACAGAUAGUCAUGGUUUCUGACUAUAGACAUUAGUUGUCAUUGACAACGGGAUCACAUCAUUAGGAGAAUGAUGUGAUGGACGAGACCCAAUCCUAAGCAUAGCACAAGAUCGUGUAGUUCGUUUUGCUAGAGCUUUUCCAAUGUCAAGUAUCUCUUCCUUAGACCAUGAGAUCGUGUAACUCCCGGAUACCGUAAGAGUGCUUUGGGUGUACCAAACGUCACAACGUAACUGGGUGACUAUAAAGGUGCACUACAGGUAUCUCCAAAAGUGUCUGUUGAUGCUAGCUUCGACACAGAUCUGGAUGACUCUAAGUCACAAACCGAAUACGUGUAUAUGUUGAAUGGUGGAGCAGUAAGCUGGUGCAGCUGCAAGCAGAGCGUCGUGGCGGGAUCUACAUGUGAAGCGGAGUACAUGGCAGCCUCGGAGGCAUCGCAUGAAGCUAUUUGGGUGAAGGAGUUCAUCACCGACCUAGGAGUCAUACCCAAUGCGUCAGGGCCGAUCAAACUCUUCUGUGACAACACUGGAGCUAUUGCCCUUGCCAAGGAGCCCAGGUUUCACAAGAAGACCAGGCACAUCAAGCAUCGUUUCAACUCCAUCUGAGAAAAUGUUCAAGAUGGAGACAUAGAUAUUUGCAAAGUACAUACGGAUCUGAAUGUCGUAGAUCCGUUGACUAAACCUCUCUCGCGAGCAAAACAUGAUCAACACCAGAACUCUAUGGGUGUUCGAUUCAUCACAAUGUAACUAGAUUAUUGACUCUAGUGCAAGUGGGAGACUGUUGGAAAUAUGCCCUAGAGGCAAUAAUAAAAGGGUUAUUAUUAUAUUUCCUUGUUCAUGAUAAUUGUCUUCUAUUCAUGCUAUAACUGUAUUAUCCGGAAAUCGUAAUACACGUGUGAAUACAUAGACCAUAACAUGUCCCUAGUGAGCCUCUAGUUGACUAGCUCAUUGGUCGACAGAUAGUCAUGGUUUCUGACUAUAGACAUUAGUUGUCAUUGACAACGGGAUCACAUCAUUAGGAGAAUGAUGUGAUGGACGAGACCCAAUCCUAAGCAUAGCACAAGAUCGUGUAGUUCGUUUUGCUAGAGCUUUUCCAAUGUCAAGUAUCUCUUCCUUAGACCAUGAGAUCGUGUAACUCCCGGAUACCGUAAGAGUGCUUUGGGUGUACCAAACGUCACAACGUAACUGGGUGACUAUAAAGGUGCACUACAGGUAUCUCCGAAAGUGUCUGUUGGGUUGACACGGAUCGAGACUGGGAUUUGUCACUCUGUAUGACGGAGAGGUAUCUCUGGGCCCACUCGGUAAUGCAUCAUCACAAUGAGCUCAAAGUGACCAAGUGUUUGUUCACGGGAUCAUGCAUUACGGUACGAGUAAAGUGACUUGCCGGUAACGAGACUGAACGAGGUAUUGGGAUACCGACGAUCGAGUCUCGGGCAUGUAACGUACCGAAUGACAAAGGGAAUUGUAUACGGGGUUUUUCUAAUCCUUGACAUCGUGGUUCAUCCGAUGAGAUCAUCGAGGAGCAUGUGGGAGAAAACAUGGGUAUCCAGAUCCCGCUGUUGGUUAUUGCCCGAGAGCCGUCUCGGUCAUCACUUCGUGUCUCCCGAACCCGUAGGGUCUACACACUUAAGGUUCGGUGAUGCUAGGGUUGUAUGAAUAUGAGUAUGCAGUAUACCGAAUGUUGUUCGGAGUCCCAGAUGAGAUCCCGGAUGUCACGAGGAGUUUCGGAAUGGUCCGGAGGUAAAGAAUUAUAUAUAGGAAGUGGUAUUUCGGCCAUCGGAAAAGUUUCGGGGUCACCCGGUAUUGUACCGGGACCACCGGAAGGGUCCCGGGGGUCCACCGGGUGGGGCCACCCAUCCUGGAGGGCCCCAUGGGCUGAUGUGGGAGGGGAGCCAGCCCAUAGUGGGCUGGUGCGCCCCCCUAGGCCCAUCCCCUGCGCCUAGGGUUGAAACCCUAGGGUGGGGGGGGGCACCACAUGCCUUGGGGGGCACUCCUCCCCCCUUGGCCGCCGCCCCCUUGGGAGAUUGAAUCUCCCAGGGCCGGCGCCCCCCCUUGGGGGCCUAUAUAAAGGGAGGGGGAGAGGGGCAGCCGCACCCUGAAGUCCUGGCGCCCCCUCCCCCUGCUACACCUCUUCCUCCUCUGUCACGUGCUUGGCGAAGCCCUGCCGGAGUGCUGCUGUUCCACCACCACCACGCCGUUGUGCUGCUGCUGGAGCCAUCAUCAUCAACCUCUCCUCCCCCCUUGCUGGAUCAAGAAGGAGGAGACGUCACACGCACCGUACGUGUGUUGAACGCGAAGGUGCCGUCCGUUCGGCGCUAGGAUCUCCGGUGAUCUGAAUCACGGCGAGUACGACUCCAUCAUCACCGCUCCCUCUAACGCGUCCGUACGCGAUCUACAAGUGGUAUGUAGAUGCAAACUCACUCUCUUGACUCGUUGCUUAGAUGAACUCAUAGAUGGAUCUUGGUGAAACCGUAGGAAAAAUUUUAAUUUUCUGCAACGUUCCCCAACAGUGCGUUGGCAAGGAAAAUCCGGUUGGAGUUGUUGCUUUUCGAGGUGACCGGUGUUUGUGGUGACGUGACUAGAUGAUUGGUUUAGGGCAGACCCUUUUGCUUGUGUUUGUAACUGUCGUGGUGGCUAAUCUGUUGAUUAGCUUCGGUGUGGAGUUGUGCUACACUUGUUGUUCGCAGCAAGAUGUAGUUUCUUGUACUUGAUUUCUGCCUUCUAUAAAAAUAUGGUACGCCUAGGCGUACUCUCGAAAAAAAAUAUGUCCUCAAGAUUAGAUCAAGUUACAUAAUCAUGUUGAAGUUAAAUCAUCUUGUUGAAUUAAAAAAUGAUAAUAUUUUUUGAUGUAUGUUGAAUCAAACCUCACUCAAAACGGUGGAGAACAGUUGAAUUGUUGAGAUAUGUGAAUAAUUAUUCCAACUAUAUUUGAAAAUCCAGCAAAUAAUAUGGAGCACUGGUAGAAAAAGAGGCUUCCGUCUAGCCCCAUUAGUCGCGAAACUGUAGGAACCGCGACUAAUGAAGUCUUUAGUCGCGGUUCGGCAGACGAACCGCGACCAAAGUCUUGGGCCAGGGCGCUCGGUGGCCAGCUGGUGCACGUGAGGGGCUUUAGUCGCGGUUGGGCAGGCCAACCGCGACUAAAGGUGCCCAAAGGCCUUUAGUCGCGGUUGGCCUGGCCAACCGCGACUAAAGCUCCUCCCCUAUAUAUACCAGUUCAGCGCACUCACUUAGCCAUUUGGUGCCACUUCUCUUCACAAGGGGGUGUAGGUUUGCUUUUGGUUCCUCUUAUGCACACAAGGUGUUUGAUGAAAUGCCCAACAGCGUGAAACAAACAUGAUAUGAAGUGUUGGAGCCACACUUGAGGUUCCUCCUCGAUCGCGGUUAGCAACUUGAACCUUUCAUGCAUGUGUGUCAUUGAUAAAAUAUGCAUGUGUGUUGUUCAUUGUUUAAUUUCUAUUGUUUAUAGCUAGUUACUUUAACAAAUGCAUGAUGGUUAAUUAUAUAUUUUAUAUUAUAAUAAUGCAGAUGAAUCGGCAAUGGAUGUACGGUAACCGACUCUCCCGCGAGUUCACUACGGGUUUGAAAGAUUUCCUCGUAGUGGCUAAUGCGAACAAGCAGAAGGGUUUUGUUAUCUGUCCUUGUGUUGACUGUAAGAAUCAGAAGGGUUACUCUUCCUCAAGAGAAGUUCACCUGCACCUGCUUCGGCACGGUUUCAUGCCAAGCUAUAAUUGUUGGACCAAGCAUGGAGAAAGAGGGGUUAUAAUGGAAGAAGAUGAAGAAGGGGAUGAUUUCAUCGAUGAAAGCUAUCUUGCUCAUUUCGGUGAUACUUUCAUGGAGGAUGCUGAAGGUGAAGGGGAAGGUGAAGGGGCAGGUGAAGGGGAAGGUGAAGGGGAAGGUGAAGGUGAAGGUGAAGAAGAGGCACGUGAUGAGACCGUUGAUGAUCUUGGUCGGACCAUUGCUGAUGCACGGAGACGCUGCGAAACUGAAAAGGAGAGGGAGAAUUUGGAUCGCAUGUUAGAGGAUCACAGAAAGUCGUUGUACCCUGGAUGCGAUGAUGGUCUGAAAAAGCUGGGCUGCACACUGGAUUUGCUGAAAUGGAAGGCACAGGCAGGUGUAGCUGACUCGGCAUUUGAAAACUUGCUGAAAAUGUUGAAGAAUAUGUUUCCAAAGAAUAACGAGUUGCCCGCCAGUAUGUACGAAGCAAAGAAGGUUGUCUGCCCUCUAGGUUUAGAGGUUUUGAAGAUACAUGCAUGCAUCAACGACUGCAUCCUCUACCCGCGGUGAAUACGAGAAUUUGAAUGAAUGCCCGGUAUGCACUGCAUUGCGUUAUAAGAUCAGAGGCGAUGACCCUGGUGACGAUGUUGAGGGCGGGAAACCCAGGAAGAGGGUUCCCGCCAAGGUGAUGUGGUAUACUCCUAUAAUACCACGGUUGAAACGUCUGUUCAGGAACAAAGAGCAUGCCAAGUUGUUGCGAUGGCACAAAGAGGACCGUAAGUCGGACGGGGAGUUGAGACACACCGCAGAUGGAACGCAAUGGAGAAAGAUCGACAGAGAGUUCAAAGAUUUUGCAGCUGACGCAAGGAACAUAAGAUUUGGUCUAAGUACAGAUGGCAUGAAUCCUUUUGGCGAGCAGAGCUCCAGCCAUAGCACCUGGCCCGUGACUCUAUGCAUCUACAACCUUCCUCCUUGGUUGUGCAUGAAGCAGAAGUUCAUUAUGAUGCCAGUGCUCAUCCAAGGUCCGAAGCAACCCGGCAACGACAUCGAUGUGUACCUAAGGCCAUUAGUUGAUGAACUUUUACAGCUGUGUGGCAGACCUGGUGUUCGUGUGUGGGAUGAGCACAAAAAAGAGGAAUUUAACCUACGAGCGUUGCUUUUCGUAACCAUCAAUGAUUGGCCUGCUCUUAGUAACCUUUCGGGACUGUCAAAUAAGGGAUACAAUGCAUGCACGCACUGCUUACAUGAGACUGAAAGUGUACAUUUGCCAAAUUGUAAGAAGAACGUGUACCUUGGGCAUCGUCGAUUUCUUCCGAAAAUUCAUCCAGUAAGAAAGAAAGGCAAGCAUUACAACGGCAAGGCAGAUCACCGGCCGAAGCCUGCGGAACGCACUGGUGCUGAGGUAUUUGAUAUGGUCAAGGAUUUGAAAGUCAUCUUUGGAAAGGGUCCUGGCGGACAAUCAGUUCCGAAGGGAGCUGACGGGCACGCAGCCAUGUGGAAGAAGAAAUCUAUAUUCUGGGAGCUAGAAUAUUGGAAAGUCCUAGAAGUCUGCUCUGCAAUCGACGUGAUGCACGUUACGAAGAAUAUUUGCGUGAACCUCCUAAGCUUCUUGGGCGUGUAUGGGAAGACAAAUGAUACAAAGGAAGCACGGCAGGACCAGCAAUGUUUGAAAGACCCUGAUGACCAGCAUCCGGAAUGGUUUCAAGGUCGUGCCAGCUACGCUCUGACCAAAGAAGAGAAGGUCAUCUUUUUUGAAUGCCUGAGCAGUAUGAAGGUCCCGUCUGGAUUCUCGUCCAAUAUAAAGGGAAUAAUAAACAUGGCGGAGAAAAGUUCCAAAACCUGAAGUCUCACGACUGCCACGUGAUUAUGACGCAAUUGCUUCCGAUUGCUUUGAGGGGGCUCCUGCCGGAAAAUGUUCGAGUAGACAUUGUGAAGCUAUGUGCAUUCCUCAAUGCAAUCUCUCAGAAGGUAAUCAAUCCAGAAGAUCUACCACGGUUACAGAACGAUGUGAUCCAAUGUCUUGUCAGUUUCGAGUUGGUGUUCCCGCCAUCCUUCUUCAAUAUUAUGACGCACCUCUUGGUUCACCUAGUCGAAGAGAUUUUCAUUCUCGGUCCUGUAUUUCUACACAAUAUGUUCCCAUUCGAGAGGUUCAUGGGAGUAUUAAAGAAAUAUGUUCGUAACCGUGCUAGGCCAGAAGGAAGCAUCGCCAAGGGCUAUGGAAAUGAGGAGGUAAUUGAGUUUUGUGUUGACUUUGUUCCUGACCUUAAGCCGAUUGGUCUUCCUCGAUCGCGGCACGAGGGGAGACUAAGUGGAAAAGGCACGAUCGGAAGGAAAUCAACGACAUGUAUGGACGGCCAUUCUCUGACUGAAGCACACCACACUGUACUGACCAAUUCCAGCUUGGUGGCUCCGUACUUUGAGAAACACAAGAAUAUUUUACGCUCGGACAACCCGGGGAAGCCUGAAUCCUGGAUUAGGAAGGCCCACAUGGAGACUUUCGGCAGUUGGUUGAGAAAACAUUUAAUGAAUGACAAUGAUGUUGUAGAUCAGCUGUACAUGUUGGCCAAGACACCAUCUUCGACUAUAACGACUUUCCAAGGGUACGAGAUAAAUGGGAAUACAUUUUACACGAUCGCCNNNNNNNNNNNNNNNNNNNNNNNNNNNNNNNNNNNNNNNNNNNNNNNNNNNNNNNNNNNNNNNNNNNNNNNNNNNNNNNNNNNNNNNNNNNNNNNNNNNNNNNNNNNNNNNNNNNNNNNNNNNNNNNNNNNNNNNNNNNNNNNNNNNNNNNNNNNNNNNNNNNNNNNNNNNNNNNNNNNNNNNNNNNNNNNNNNNNNNNNNNNNNNNNNNNNNNNNNNNNNNNNNNNNNNNNNNNNNNNNNNNNNNNNNNNNNNNNNNNNNNNNNNNNNNNNNNNNNNNNNNNNNNNNNNNNNNNNNNNNNNNNNNNNNNNNNNNNNNNNNNNNNNNNNNNNNNNNNNNNNNNNNNNNNNNNNNNNNNNNNNNNNNNNNNNNNNNNNNNNNNNNNNNNNNNNNNNNNNNNNNNNNNNNNNNNNNNNNNNNNNNNNNNNNNNNNNNNNNNNNNNNNNNNNNNNNNNNNNNNNNNNNNNNNNNNNNNNNNNNNNNNNNNNNNNNNNNNNNNNNNNNNNNNNNNNNNNNNNNNNNNNNNNNNNNNNNNNNNNNNNNNNNNNNNNNNNNNNNNNNNNNNNNNNNNNNNNNNNNNNNNNNNNNNNNNNNNNNNNNNNNNNNNNNNNNNNNNNNNNNNNNNNNNNNNNNNNNNNNNNNNNNNNNNNNNNNNNNNNNNNNNNNNNNNNNNNNNNNNNNNNNNNNNNNNNNNNNNNNNNNNNNNNNNNNNNNNNNNNNNNNNNNNNNNNNNNNNNNNNNNNNNNNNNNNNNNNNNNNNNNNNNNNNNNNNNNNNNNNNNNNNNNNNNNNNNNNNNNNNNNNNNNNNNNNNNNNNNNNNNNNNNNNNNNNNNNNNNNNNNNNNNNNNNNNNNNNNNNNNNNNNNNNNNNNNNNNNNNNNNNNNNNNNNNNNNNNNNNNNNNNNNNNNNNNNNNNNNNNNNNNNNNNNNNNNNNNNNNNNNNNNNNNNNNNNNNNNNNNNNNNNNNNNNNNNNNNNNNNNNNNNNNNNNNNNNNNNNNNNNNNNNNNNNNNNNNNNNNNNNNNNNNNNNNNNNNNNNNNNNNNNNNNNNNNNNNNNNNNNNNNNNNNNNNNNNNNNNNNNNNNNNNNNNNNNNNNNNNNNNNNNNNNNNNNNNNNNNNNNNNNNNNNNNNNNNNNNNNNNNNNNNNNNNNNNNNNNNNNNNNNNNNNNNNNNNNNNNNNNNNNNNNNNNNNNNNNNNNNNNNNNNNNNNNNNNNAAAUAACUUAAAACUUGAUAAUUAACAAAAAAACCGUAAAAUUUGAUAAUUAACAAAAAAAACGUAUAUACGGAGAGGGGGCGGCGAGGGGGGCGGCGAUGCGCGCGGUGUUUUUUUAGGGAUCGAGAGGGGACGGCGAGGGUUAUAAAUGUGUUGUCCUCGCCUCCCUCUCCGUGACGCCGUCGUCUGCCUCCCCGUCUCGCGCUCUACCGCGACACCCUCUCCCACCCCUUCCUCGCCCCCUCCUUUUGCCACUGCCCUUUCGCCACCGCCACCGCCACCGCCCCCCUUCUUCACUUAAUUAAUUUGUUUUUACUACAUGUUUUCAGGACUGACAUAAUGGCGGACGAUAGAGCUGACCCGAUUAUGGACAACUAUGAUCCGGACGGUGAAGCACAUAUGUUCGGCAUCAUAAACGGCGAUAUUCUAUAUGUGCCGACCGGACAAGAAGAAGAUGAUAUCUCUUCUUAUCUGAACCUUGACGGUGAAGAUGAAGGGCGCCGUCAGCAAGAUGAUGCCGAACAAACGUCGAUAAACGACGAUCUUCAAAUGGAAGUAGCAACCACCUCCGGCGCCGAGGUAUAUAUAUAUACAUUGAGCCUCUGGUGAUACAAACUAACUGAUUUGAAUAAAUAUGUUUGGACUAACGCGCGCGACUCUCUUUCUUAUUUUAGCCCUCGGCCGGAUCGUCGAAACAAUCGAGUACGUCGUCAAAGCGUGGCGCAACCAAGACGAUGAAACAAGGAGAAACAUGCACCAUCGAGGUUGUCGACAGUGCAACCGGCAGGCCGCUGGAGCCCCGCAAGAACGCCACCAAGUUUGUCAACCAAUGCGGAGCCAUUGUUAGAGACAACGUCUCGAUCACCGUCCAGGAGUGGAAUAAGCCAAAGAAGGCACGAAUUGCUGGUUUCACUUUCGUCGAUAAGAGAACAAAAAGAGAUUGCUUCAAAAAGCUUAUGGAACAUUUCGUUCUACCUCCGGAAUACAACAAAUUCGAUGAGGAGGGUAACAAGAUUGAGGAAAACAAGGAGAGGAGGAGGCUAGUCAAACAGUUCGCUCUUCAUAAGAUGGCCGACGCAUUCCGGAAAUUCAAGCAAAAUCUAGCCCAUGACUUUGUCAAGCAGAACAAGACUCCGGAUUUCAAAGGACAAUAUGAGAAACUGAAACAUGAUUGCCCAGAAUUUGUGAAGCAAAAGAAAUCGGAGCAGUUCAUUCAAAUAUCGAAAAAAAUAAGGAAAAUGCGGCUAAGAAGGAGUACAAUCAUAUUAUGGGGCCAGGAGGGUAUCGCCUUUGGGAGCCUAGGUGGGAGAAGAUGGAGAACGAGCUGAGAGCGCGAGGAAUCCGUCCAGGUACGGAGGGAUGGGACCCAAGGGCCAAAAGCUGGUGGUACGGGCAUGGGGGAACGCUGAACCCGGAGACAGGGGACUGUGUUUACCGGGGCAAAAUAAUUAAACCCACCCAAGCCCUUAUUGACGCAAUGAGGGAUGCUCAAGAGGGGAAGAUCAAGUUCAACAGAGAGAACGACGCACUGACAAAAGCCCUCGGGAAUCCUGAACACGGAGGACGUGUACGAGGCAUGGGGCACAUUCCGUGGAAAAUAGGGUUCCCCCAGAAUGAUGACCCGUACGGUUACAGAAGCCGGAAGAGAAAGAUGGAUCGGGAAGCAGAUGUUGUGGCGCGGUUGGCAUCGGAAAUGGAUGUGAUGAAGAAAACCGUGAGUGUACUAGUAGCCGAACGAGAUGCAGCUCGGGCGCAGCAUGAAGAUCAUCCAGCGGAUCUCAGAAGCCAGCAGCGGAGAAGCAGUGUGGCUUCCACGGAGGCCCCACCGGCUGGUGCAGAUGCACCGACGAUCGAAAUUACUGCACCUGAGCCUCUGGUGGUCGAAAUUACUGCACCGGAGCCUCUGGUGGUCGAAAUUACUGCACCGGAGCCUCCUCGCUACCCCGUGGAUGAUAUAAAGGAGAUGAAAGAAUGUCAUCUGUAUUAUCCUAUCGGGAACAUGUCCGUGAAGGUAGCCAUCGGCAGUGCUUUACCAUGUUUACCUGGAGCACUCCACCACAACACCCCCAUUCAAGAUGGCUAUGCUCGUGUCACGGUGGAGGACAUAGUCCAAGGGUUUGAGGACCUGGAGAUUGACAUUGCUACACCUGAAGGGGAGAAAAGACUUGGAGAUGUCAAGCGCCAUUUCAUUCUAUGGCAAAAGAAGUUUAUCAAGUUUCCAGGCGAGGCGCCAAGGACAACAAGUCCACCCCCCUACGGUGGUGGCGGUUCACCUACACCUCCGUCACGUCAGCCGACGCCCCCCAGUCCACAACGUCCGGCGGGUGAUCAGACGCCGCCCCCCAGUCCUCGUCCGGCGGGUGAUCAGACGCCGCCCCCCAAUCCACCUCCGGCAAAGAAGCAGAAGCAGUCCUGGAUUAUUUACCCGGACCCUUAUGUACCUAAGACCACAAAGGUACCGGAGCCAUCAUUGAAGCCUCUCCCCACAAGGCCUUGGGAACGUAGUGCCGAGGAAACUGCCGCGGCCGCGGCUGCUGAUCAUGAGAAAUGGAAGGCGGACUGCAAGAAGAAAAGAGAGCCCGAGCCCAAGCCAGUAUUUUCUGAUGAGCAAAAGAAGUGGGCUAAGUCAUUUUUGAGCACACCGUCCCAAGCCGCGAAGAAUCUGCCUGACGACUAUGCACGUGAACUUCGUAGGCAGGCACUCAUGUUGAAGGAGAAGAAAGAGCGGGCGGAGAACCAGGAGAACAAAGCCUUGGAGGAGGCCGAGAAAACGGAAUUAGAAAGUAAAAAAAGCGGGAAACGAGUUGCCCAGCUCGGGGAACAAAGUAAACAAUCGAUUGCCCCGCUUAUAGUGAAAGCCGCCGGUCCGGAUGACCCCGAUAUCAUAGCAGCUGCGGCAGCACAUGGAUUGACUGUAACGAGUGCCAGAGAACAAGCGGCCAACUUAGGUAUUACUCUUCGUGAACUGUUAGGCCUUGAUGAGGCACCAGUGAAGGAGGUAGUAAUUACAUAUGUGAAAAAUGGGCCUCUCGUCGAGCCUGCGCAGGAACAGGAUCUACCUCCACAAAUGAAAGGUCUGCUGAAAUGGUACAAGGGUUACAUAAAAAAUAAAAACGCCAAAGAAUAUAUUUAUGCGGAAGUUAGAUAUGAGCAUCACUUCAAACAUUACUAUGUACAAAUUCAUCUGAGUGAAUUGUUCCAGCUUUUCAAUCUGCGCGAGCUCGACAAAUCUAUCAUCAGUUGCUACGUUCUGUAAGUGAUUUAUUUCUACCCCAUCUCGUUCAUAUUGCCUGCACUAUAUAUAUGUCCUAACUAUAUUGUUGUGUCCGCUAUUAUACAUGCAGAAUGAAGAUUAAGGAAUGCAGAGUAAGGAACAUCCAUAAUGUUGGGUUCAUUGACCCACACAUCGUUAAUGGAUAUGUGUUGGAGCAUCACCCCGCCGACAUGGAGGCAGACCUGUGGCAGUUUCUUACAAAGCAGGAACUCAAAAGUGAUAUUCUAUUUCCUUACCAUUUUGGGUGAGUGUUUCUGUCUUGAGCACAUUCUCUUUUGUUUACUCCAUGCAUGGUAUGUGGCCGGCUAAUCGAUGAGUUAUGCAUGACGUACUGUGCAUGUAUCGUGUCCGCAGGUUCCACUGGAUUCUGCUAGUAAUUAAAGUUGACACCUCAGAAUGUCUCGUCCACGACUCUCUGAAUAAGGAUCCAAAGCUUUGGGUCGACAUGAGAAGAAUGCUGCAGAAAUAAUUAUUUUCAUUCAUUUGCGCUCUAUAUCGAUCGGCCUAUUUCGUUCAUUUCCUAAUAUCAAGUAACUAAUAACUCUCUUGUUCAUUUAAUUUUCUUUGCCUCGUAGGGUUUGGAGACGGUUCGUAGAUACAAAGGUCGGUGAAUUCAAAAAAGAGCUAGAAUUCAAAAGGGCAAAGGCUAAGAAUGGUGAGGAUAUUCAGCCAGCGGGGACCAAUCUAUGUGCAUACUAUGUCUGUGAGAUGAUCCGGAGAUACACCUCUGAGCGGGUUCCGAGUGAUACCAAUGCUCAGAGGAAUAACCUCCGGAUGAUGCUUAGUCCAGAAGCUCGCUUCCGACCACUUCAAGAGGAACUUGCUGGAUGGUUCAGGAGGGAAGUCCUCCAUCCUAAAGGAGAACACCAUUACGAGGACGUAGAACUUUAUAUGCAUUAAAUUAUGUAUGGAAACUUGUUCAAAAUUGUAUAUGGUCAUCCGAUGAUAUUGAAUAUAUAUUGUAUAUUCCUCUUGAAUUCUUUUUGGUUCUAAUUUCAAAUUUGUUUGAAAUUGUACAUUCAUAUGCAUGUAUGUAGUACCGUAGAAUAUGUGAAACUCCUUCAAAAUUAAAAUAAAGCACAAAAGAAAUAAAACAAUACAUAUUAAACAGAAAACAGGUUUAAGGGGGGAGGGGGGGCUAAAACCCUAAACCUGCGGCGGCCUUUAGUCGCGGUUGGCCAGAAGAACCACGACUAAAGGUCCUCCGCCCCGACGGCCACCUGGCGCCCACGUGGACGGGCCUUUAGUCGCGGUUCUUAAGCAACCGCGACUAAAGGGUGGGGCCUUUAGUCGCGCCCGUUCGGUCGCGGUUGCGCAACCGCGACUAAUGGCAGUUGCGAACCGCGACCAAAGGCCCUUUUCCCACCAGUGGAGUGAAAAUAAGAAAAAAACAAAUGGGAAAAACCAAAUGUGGCCAUGGAAAAAAAAACUGGCGCUCUAACAAAUGACGAGAUAAGGGAGGCAGAAGAAAAACCAAAUGUGGAUCGAACACGCGACCUUCAGAUCUUCAGUCUGACGCUCUCCCAAGUGAACUAUCCCCGCUUGAUGUUAUUUCAGUUAGUUCCAAUUCUCUUUUUUUGAUUUCUGACUCACUUCAUAUUUGACUCUACACUAACGCUCUUCAAACUAACAUAAGGCCUCAGAAUCUCCACGUAGCAGCGAUCAGUAAAUGUAUUAUAUUACGCAUCUCGUACAACCGUAGCAUAGACUUCUCAACAUAUUUUUAUACGUACUUGAUGAUGUUCUUUCUUUACAUGGAAGAAGGAAAUCCAUGAUCUAUGGAACAAUCCAUGAUCUAUGGAUCACCAGCGGCAGUGCCGCGCAGCACGGAUGGAGAUGGAGGUCCAAGCUCUUAUUGGCGGCGCAGUGGUAGUACAGUGUGAGCACCAUCCCGCCACAGCUGCCGCAUGUCUUGCCACUGCAGCGCGGGUGCUCGUGGCAGAGCUGGAACUCCUUGCCCUUGAACAAUGGGUGCACCAGCAUGCCCUCUGCGAGGGCACAGUCAUUGUGGAGGUCGGAGUCACAGGGUUGGCACGUGUACAUGUCCCCGGCGCCUAGAUCCAUGCAGACGUUGCACUGGAACUCCGCGGCGCCGGUGGCCAUCAGCGCUCCCGGCGGGCGGGGUGGGACGUGGGAGAUUUCCGCAGGAUGUGGCAAGGUUGUCAAAAAACGGUAUUUUCCUUUUUCGGAGGCGGACGUUUUAAAUUGGAUGUAUAUACUACUGGAAUUAUGAUGUACACCGGGUGUCAUGUUCUUCGCCGAGUACCAAAACACGGACACUCGACAAAGAAAAUAACAACGAGAGUCACUUUUGGCAAACCUAGCUUUACGACAAACUGCCUUCUUUGCCGUCACUGCCUCGCGGCAAAGAGGCACCGCACGGCAAACCCUACAGACGUCGAGAGCUGCUCACGACAAAGAGGAGCCACGUGACAUGCCCGUCCGAAACACGACUCCGUCGGUUACUGUGUAUAUCACCGAGAGCGACACUCGGCAAACUAUAUGCCACAUCCUAUUUUCUUUUUUGAGUGUGUUCUUUCUAACUGACAUGUGAUCCCACUGGUCACAUUUAUCAAUAAAAGUUUCAAAUAAUUUGCUAAAUAUUUUUGAACAAAAAUGACGAUAUCUUUCCCGAGAGCUGCUCUCAGCAAUUCUCCUGACCAGUAAGAUAGCGUGGCCACAUGGCAGCUGACAGUUUACAUAUCUUUGUCGAGAGUUGGUCUCGGCAAUGCUCGCCAUCUUUUUCGAGAGCUGCUCUCGGAAAAGGUAUGGCACAACAGUAGUGUCUCCCAGACGACCAAUUUUCUGAGAGGAGCUCUCGGUAGUAUAUCGUUUUCCGAGUGUAGCUCUUGGAAAUCUUUCCCAUCCAUUCUACUGUUAAGCUAUUUCUUUUCUGAUCCCUGCAGAUGAAAACAACUACAGUGCAAUUUGGAGUAGUCCACACAUAUAUAGGCAUAAUUUGAUCUACUCCAUAUAUAUAUACAUACAUAUAUAUAUAUAUAAUUAGGGAUAGUCCACAUAUUAUCACACACAAAUCGAAUGUAGUAUCCUAGUAGAUGUCACACACAAGUCGUAAAUUUAUAUAUAUUGUCACUACUUGCAAAACAUGUGCACGUUACAAUAGAAGUACACUUAUUCAUAUAUAGAUCAGCUUGAGGAGGAGAGGCCAUCGGGUUAACAUUCCAGAGGAGGAGGGGCAUCACUUGCACUGCUUCGAGAUUGCAUAAGAACCUAUAAGAGUAGAGUCACGUGAGGAUGGUUCGUCCCUAUGUAAUGAAUCUUCUACUCUAGUUUAGAUAAUGUUCUACCUGUAGUUGAUUCUCAAGUAGCUUCAACCUAUUGUUAGUGUCUUCUCGUUCCUUUUCUUUGGACUCCUCAGCCUUCCGCCUUUGCUCCUCUUCAACAGCCUGCUGCUUCAUUAAAUUCUGUAACAUGGCAUUAGGCUCAUAUAGGUUGGACCGGUGCUAUUUCGAGGCAUGGACAUAAAUGAAAGGUUAGAAUGCUAACCUUGAGACUUGUGGUGCAUCUAUCUCGCAGCGCCGUGAAUGAUGUGAUCUUCAGUGACGUGGAGGUUUCAGGAGGUAUUGCUGUCUACACCUACAAAGAAGAGAAUGUUGACAGAUUUUGCCGUGUAACCGUGCCACUGUUCAACUCUGAAUAUAGUAUGUUGUCUGAACAAGUUAGCAGGAGCAUAGUCUGCACCAGAGGAUUUGGCAAAUAACUUCAGAAUUUUUAAUUGAACAUGGAUAUAUUAUUCUUGGAAGGAAAGUCUACACCAGUAGAUAUUGUGAUCUUCAAGGAUAACCCAACAUUUUAGGUGCUCUACAAGGAAUGGAUAUGAGAACGUUGCAGCGUCACAAUAGUCAAGAACCUCCACAGAAGGGUUCCAAUACUCAAGGUUUAUUUCUAGUGCUUCUUUUUUCCAGUGUAAAGAAGGGAGUAACCACAGUUUCCCCAAUUGUUGAAUCACAGAUGUAUCACCACAUAAACAGAGCAUAUGACAAGUUCAAAAUUCGAGUGCAAAACAUAUGUUCUUGUGCAACACAAAACGUCCGAAGUUUAAGCGCACAAACAUCGGCAACUCGAUUGCAACUACUUUCACUGAAUAAUGUAUCUCUCAUAACAGUAAAAAAACUAUUUCCUAGCCCAAAAAGAUGUUUUCUCGGAUCACAAUCGAUACCCCUACUUUAUGGCUGAAAACCCUUCUUUAUCACCCAAAACCCUAGCUUUAUUACGCCGCCCAAACUUACCAAACCCUGUUCUGACUUGAAUCCGACCGAUCAUCACAACAUUACAUCCCACCGGUGAUUUCCGCGGUGGUGCAGAAGAAUAGAGGCGGAGGGGAUUUCGAGAACUUGUCAUAAUCCGGAGGGAAGAUCCUGUGCGGGCGGACAAGAUGCACGGAGACGGCGGCUCCAUACCGCUGCUGAUCACCGAUGACGUCGCCAAGAGGAGGCGGACAUCAUCAAGGGAACGUCGACACGACGAGUUCUCCGAUAGAGGAGGCAAAGAGAUGUGUUAGAAGUGAGUGCUUUGAUUUAAUUCAAUUUUUUUUUAAUCUCCACCGAUGUGCUCGAGUUGGAGUGCAGUUUUCCCCCCGCAAAACGCAAUGACCGGCUUGGCCCCUCCGCCGCUAACGUGCCGCUAGAUGUCGCGUGCUGAUUGGCUCGACUAAUUUGCACAUCGGCAACAAGUUCCUGGGUGGCAGGGCGAGCAAUCGCAAGUUGUGUCACCGGCCAGAGUCCAGACAGUUUGUGGGUGUGCAGUGUUGUUACAUCUUUUUUAUGUUUUUUUAGAAUCAUCUUUUUUAUGUGAGAGGCUUUCACAAAUCUCUAAAUAAAUAAAGGACGCGUCUAGUGGGCGGCCGGCUGCCCACUAGCGCGAUCGAGCAGCUGGCCAUAAAAAGCAACUUCCUGUCCCCCACGUGGUACAGAAAAAGCAGGAUCGAGCUGCCACCAAACCGAGUGAUUCCAGCGCCCAAUCCCGAACAAAAAGCGACCCCCCCACGUGGCCAGCUGUCCACAAACUCGCUCGCCCCCACGUCCCAACCCCUCCCACGCCCGCUCGCCCAGGCAAUCCCACGCUGCUUUCUUGACCUGCAGGAAAGAAAGGGAUCCAAAGCUCCUUCUUCCUCCUCCUAUAUAGCCGCCAUGGGAGCAGAAAGAUAGAUGAAUCUGCUUCAACAAAUUGAUCUAAAAUGCAGGGUGAUCAGACCCAUACCAGGCAACAAACAUCAGGCAAGUACUUCCUCUCUAACCCUCUUCAGUUGUCCCCUUUCUUGUACUGCAUCUAUAAAACACCCUCCUCCAUGGAUCCAUCAGCAAAUCCAUGAAGAAUCUGCUUCAAAAAAAGAGUACAUUUGAAACAUCACCUUAUUGUGAACAUCACACCGGCCGCACCCCCCCCCCAUGAGUGCAUCUGCACACUAACUUAGGGUUCCCAGAUCGAAACUGAACGUGUUUUUCUAAACAUGCAUGCUAAGCAAGUUUACCCUGCCCCUUUUAUGUGUUCAACAAGUCAACUAAGACAUAUUUACUGGCCAACAAAUACAUGAUUCUAGCCAACUGAACAUGCAUGCUUGCCAACUAGAUAUAUGCAUCCUGGCCAACUGAAACGUCUAUUCUAGCCAGCUGAACACAUUGACUGUGCAACGGAACAUGCAUGCUGGCCAACUGAUAUAUGCAUCCUAGCCAAUUGAAAUGUCUAUUCUAGCUAGCUAAACACAUUGACUGUGCAACAGAACAUGCAUCCUGGCCAAGCUGAUAUAUGCAUCCUGGCCAACUGAAAUGUCUAUUCUAGCCAGCUAAAUACAUUGGUUGUGCAACAGAACAUGCAUUCUGGCCAAAAUGAUAUAUGGAUCCAUGAAAAUUCAAACAUCUAUUUUAGCCAACUAAACACAUUGGCUGUGCAACUGAACAUGCAUGCUGACCAACUGAUAUAUGCAUCCUAGGAAAAUUGAAACAUCUAUUCUAUCCAACUGAAUACAUGGACUGUGCAACUGAAUAUGCAUGCUGGCCAACUGAUAUAUGCAUCCUGGGAAAUUGAAACAUCUAUUCUAGCAAAAUUGAACACAUUGACUGUCAAACAAAACUUGCAUGCUGGCCAACUGAUAUAUGCAUCCUGGCCAACUCAAAGAUCUAUUCUAGCCAAAACCAAAAAACUGCAGUACGGCAACUUCUGCAGCAAUAUGUGCAACAGAUAAAUAAACAAGGUUAUUGAAGCCAUAAAACCACAUUAAAGUAGUCACACAUAUAUUCUGGUAGCACACCUAUUGCAAAGCUAUAGUGUAAAAAUAUGUUCAAAUAUACUGAAAGUAGAAACAGAAACGGCGACGAAAAACAUAUAUCUAUAGUCUGUCAUCAAAUUCUUCUUUCUUCUUUCACCUGGAUUUUGCAUCUGAAAAAGUAGCAUCAAAUUGUGUCCCUAUUAUGUGCAGCAAAAUUUGAAUAAGCUCCUUGCCAACGGAACCCUGCGGAUCAUUGCAAUAAAAGCAGAGGAAAAAGUCAGAAAACUCUAUGGCAAAAAGAAGUCAAGUUCUUGCCAACUAUUUACUACAAACUGUGCAACUAACAUAACAACUCUGUGCAAAAACAAAAAAUGCAUGCAUGUUAUAAUAAAAGAUUCUGCUACAGACAUGUUGCUUUUGGAACUAAGAUUGUCAUAAAAUGGUGUGCAACUGCCUAUUUACUAAGUUUUUUGGUUGUUUGAAACACUCUUUUCUAUGAUUAACAACUGAUGACAUCACUUUCUUCUUUUUUAUAUGUGCAGUGAGUGUGUGGCAGCAUCCAAAAAAAGGAAAAAAAUGCUUGUUUUCAAUGAGCUUCCUCAUGAUACGGAUCAGCAGCAACCCAGCAUACCACAAGGAAACUGGACAGAAAAUGUACGAUCUGUUUACUACACACAGGCUAGUCAUGGUGGAAACCCUAUGGGCCAUGACAAUGUGGUAGACCAACCAUCAACCCGUGGUGCCCCUGUAGUGGUGUCUUUGCAGUCAGAGAGCCAUACUCUAGAUGACAUGGGAACCGAGGCAAAUGUUCCUCAUCCAACCAGGACUGAGCUAGGAGCUGGGGCUGUUGACGGAGCUGUGCAAGAAGAAGAAGGAGAGGAUGAGGCUGGUUCUCAACGUAUGGAACCCUAUGUUGGCACGAGGUUUGACAGCCUUCAAAUUGCUAAGGAUCACUACAACAGCUACGCACUACGGAUGGAUUUCUCUAUCAAUAUGAACACAUCUAGACGGACACCCCGCACCAAUGAAUUGAUAAAACAACAGUUUUGCUGCAACAAGUUCAAGAAGCCCAAAGCUGAUGAUGGAGGAGCUGAGGCUCCUCCUGUUUUGGACCCUAUUCCAGAUCCAAAAUCUGUUGACAGUGAUGAGGAGAUGAAAGAAGAACCUCCAAUAUUUGCUGAAGAGGAGGCUGGUACUAGUAAGAAGAAGAAGAAGCGCAAACGUGAGACAAUAAAGCAGACUCAGUGCAAAGCAAAAAUGUUGGUGAAGCUGAUAGAUGGGCGAUGAGAGGUGACACACUUUGUUCGUGACCACAAUCAUCCGCUCGUGAACAAACCUUCAUUGUCCAAAUACUUGAGAUCCCACCAAGGCAUCUCACCUGAUGAAAAGGAGUUUCUGCGCAUCUUGUAUAACUGCAACUUGACUACAGGUGUGGUGUUUUUCUAUAUCCCUUAAAGAAUUAAGUUUUCCUCUAGGCAGUCUAGUGUGCAACUUUUAUGGUAGUACUGUGCAACUGAAAUGACUUAACUGUGCAACUGGUGUCCAACUGGUGUGCCACUGAAAUGACUUCACUUUUGGUGCUUGUUGUGCAACUAGAUUGUCUUUACUGUGCAACUAGACGAUGUCAUGUAUGCAAAAAGUGCAAAAGUGUUUUUAAAAAGAUGCAGCUAGGUGUCCAUUUCCUGCGAUUAUCUUUUGUGCCAACACAUUUCCUAUUACUGUGCAGCUGGAUGUGCGCAUUCGUGCAACUAAAAGAAGGAUAUACUAUUUUUUUGUAUUAUGCAGGACGUAUGAUGCAUGUAAUGGCAGAGUUUUAUGGAUCUAAGAUGAUGGUGCCAUUCGGACCAAAGGCAAUAACUAAUAUUUGUACAAGUUUCUGUAAAGAUGACACAAAGGAGGGUGAUCUGAUUGAGACAAUUGCGCACUUCAAGGAUAUUAAAAAACCGAUCCAGACUUCUUCUAUAAGGUGAAAUAUGAUGAAGAGGACAGAGUUGUCAACAUAUUUUGGGUGGAUGGCUUAGCUCGAAAAGCUUAUGCGGAGGCGUACCACGAUUGCAUAUCGUUUGACACCACCUACAUGACCAACAUGUACAAUAUUCCGUUUGCACCCUUCAUAGGAAUAAACUGACAUGGCCAAUCUUUCAUGUUGGGUUGCGCGUUUGUGAGGCAGGAGUUGGCAUCGAGCUUUGAUUGGGUCUUUGGAGCAUUCCUAGAGGCUAUGGAUGGCAAACCUCCUGACAACUUCAUAACCGAUCAGGAUGGUGCAAUGAGGCAGUCAAUACAGAGCAUCUUUCCAAACCACAGUGCACCGCUGUUGUCGAUGGCACAUCAUGAAAAAGGCUCAGGAAAAAGUUAGUUGGCUGCUGUGCCGGAAUCCAGGACUCUCUGAUGAUUUCAACAAGUGUGUUGACUUCAGCUUCACUAUAGACGAGUUUGAGCAGAAUUGGGCUGGGUUAAUGGUGAAGUACGAGGCUAUGACACACACACACACACACUUUGAGAAGUUGUACGAAUACAGGUCAACUUGGAUGUCGUGCUACUUCAAGCACAGGUUCUUCCCGUUCCUACAAUCUACAUAGUGUAAUGAGGGGUUCAACACCGUCCUGAAAAGAUAUGUGAACCCACACAACUCAAUGCUGAACUUCGUCAAGCAAUAUGAAAAAAAUCCAGAACCACAUCCUUGCCAAGGAAGGCUGCAAUGAUUAAAGGACAGAACACCUUGAGAUUGAGCUGUGGUCCAACUUCCCAAUAGAGAAGCAAGUUUACAAAACCUAUACUAGGGACCUUUACCGCAAGUUCAGAGAAGAGUUUGAGCUGAUUGGAUGUUAUAAUGCAUUCCAAGUUGGUGCUGAUAUAGAGCUCAGACCGAACCAGGAAUUUGUUGCCAAAUAUGGUUCUCGAAACUACUUGGUGUAGGCAAGGGUGGAGGAGGGCUCCUAUUUGUGUGAGUGCUGUAAAAUGGACAAAGACGACAUCCUCUAUUGCCACAUCCUCAAGGUGUUCACCCAUAUUGGAGUUGAUGUCAUACCGGAAAGGUACCUGCUAAGACAGUGGACACCUACUGCUAUACCUAGUGCGCCAGGGACUGGUUAUGAGCAACCGGAUGAAAUGCCUCCUCAGUCAAAGAAGCAGAUAAGGGAGAGGAACAUGAUAUACGAUUUUUGGAAACUAGCAAAGUUUGUGAGUGGUUCUGAUCCAGCACAAGCUAUUGUACACAAGCAUAUGCGUGCAACACGUACCGAGAUCGGCCACAUGAACAAGUCCAAGAAAAAGAAAAAACCGACUGCUGCCACGGGGCCAUCAGAUGAUGGCAACCCUCGAGGACCUCCUCCACCUCCACGCAGCAAUCAGGGUGCUCAUUAUCCAGCUAAUUAUCUGCCCCAACUCCUGAUCUAAAUAGGUGUGUAACUUCAGUUGCACACAUCAUUGUGCCUAGUUGCACACAUCAUGGUGGCCAGUUGCAUAGAAACAGGCUGCCUAGUUGCGCAUACUGUGUUAGUUCAAGCAUCGAGAUAACAUAACUAACUUGUUUUUCCUGUUCUGGAUAUAGAUGAUGUCAACCCUCAAGGACAUCCUCCACCUCCUGGCCCUAUAGGUAGCACUCAGGGGCCUCAUCGUCCAGGUAAUUACCUGCCCCAACUCCCAAUCAAACUAGGUCUGUAACUCCAGUUGCACACAUCAUGGUGCUCAGUUGCACAGAAAACAGGCUACCUAGUUGCGCACGUUGUGUUAGUUCGAGCAUCAAAGAUAACACAACUAACUUGUUUGUCCUGUUCUAUCUAUAGGUGAUGCCAACCCUCAAAGACCUCCUCCCCCGCCUGGCCCAACUAGCAGUGCCCUGCGUGCUACUCCCAAUGGACCUACAUGCAGGACUCAGGGGGCUCAUCACCCAGGUAAAAUACCUUCCCCAACUCCCAACAAAACUAGGAUGUGUGACUUCAGUUGCACAUAUCAUUAUGCCAGUGCAACGUCUUGAGCUUGCAUUGGUUUUCCUCGAAGAGGAGAGGGUGAUGCAUCAAUAGUAGCGUAAGUAUUUCCCUCAGUUUUUGAGAACCAAGAUAUCAAUCCAGUAGGAGGCUCCUCAAAAGUCACACGCACGUACACAAACAAACUGAGAACUCGCAACCAACGCGAUAAAGGGGUUGUCAAUCCCUUCACGGCCACUUGCGAAAGUGAGAUCUAAUAAAGAUGGUAAGCUAAGAUAAAUAUGUUUUUGGUAUUUUAUAAUAUGGAUGCAAAAAGUAAAGAUGCAAAUAAAAGUAGAUUGAAAGCAAAUAUGAUAAGAGAUAGUCCCGGGGGCCAUAGGUUUCACUAGAGGCUUCUCUCAAGAUAUCAUAAGUAUUACGGUGGGUGAACAAAUUACUGUCGAGCAAUUGAUAGAAAAGCGCAUAGUUAUGAGAUUAUCUAGGCAUGAUCAUGUAUAUAGGCAUCACGUCCAUAACAAGUAGACCGACUCCUGCCUGCAUCUACUAUUAUUACUCCACACAUCGACUGACUCCUGCCUGCAUCUAGAGUAUUAAGUUCAUAAGAACAGAGUAACACAUUAAGCAAGAUGACAUGAUGCAGAGAGAUAAACUCAUGCAAUAUGAUAUAAACCCCAUCUUGUUAUCCUUGAUGGCAACAAUACAAUACGUGCCUUGCAACUCUUUCUGUCACUGGGUAAGGACACCGCAAGAUUGAACCCAAAGCUAAGCACUUCUCCCAUGGCAAGAAAGACCAAUCUAGUAGGCCAAACCAAACUGAUAAUUCGAAGAGACUUGCAAAGAUAACUCAACCAUACAUAAAAGAAUUCAGAGAAGAUUCAAAUAUUAUUCAUAGAUAAACUUGAUCAUAAACCCACAAUUCAUCGGAUCUCGACAAACACACCGCAAAAAGAGUUUACAUCGAAUAGAUCUCCACAAGAGAGGGGGAGAACAUUGUAUUGAGAUCCAAAAAGAGAGAAGAAGCCAUCUAGCUAAUAACUAUGGACCCGUAGGUCUGUGGUAAACUACUCACAACUCAUCGGAGGGGCAAGGAUGUUGAUGUAGAGGCCCUCCGCGGUCGAUUCCCCCCCCGGCAGAGUGCCGACGAAGGCUCCAAGAUGGGAUCUCGCGGAUAUAGAAGGUUACGGUGGUGGAAAUUGUGUUUCAUGGUGCCCCUGGAUGUUUUCGGGGUACGUAGGUAUAUAUAGGAGGAAGAAGUACAUCGGUGGCCGCCCGAGGGGCCCACGAGACAGGGGGCGCACCCUAGAGGGGGGGGGGCUCCUAUCUCGUGGAGCCCUCAGCUGCUUCUUGACUUGCAUUCCAAGCUCUCCGGAUCACGUUCGUUCCAAAAAUCACGCUCCCGAAGGUUUCAUUCCGUUUGGACUCCGUUUGAUAUUCCUUUUCUUCGAAAUAUUGAAAUAGGCAGAAAAAACAGCAAUACGGGCCGGGCCUCCGGUUAGUAGGUUAGUCCCAAAAAUGAUAUAAAUGUGUAAAAUAAAGCCCAUAAACAUCCAAAAGAGGUAAUAUAAUAGCAUGGAACAAUCAAAAAUUAUAGAUACGUUGGAGACGUAUCAAGCAUCCCCAAGCUUAAUUCCUGCCCGUCCUCGAGUAGGUAAAUGUAAAUAAGAAAUUUUUGAUGUGGAAUGCUACCUAGCAUAAUUCUCAAUGUAAUUUUCUUUAUUGUGGCAUGAAUGUUCAGAUCCAAAUGAUUCAAAAUAAAAGCUUAUAAAACAUAAAAAUAAUAAUGCUUCAAAGCAUACUAACAAAAAAUCAUGUCCUAUCAAAAUAACAUAGCCAAAGAAAGCUUAUCCCUACAAAAUCAUAUAGUUAGGCCAUGCUUCAUUUUCAUUACACAAAAUACUCCCAUCAUGCACAACCUCGAUGACGAGCCGAGCAAUUGUUUCAUACUUUUUAACGCGCUUCAACUUUUUCAACUCUUACGCAAUACAUGAGCGUAAUCCAUGGACAUAACACUAUAGUGGUAUAUGGUGGUGGUUGUGAGGACAAAAAGAGGGAGAAGAUAAUCUCACAUCAACUAGGCGUACUAACGGGCUAUAUAGAGGUGCCCAUUAAUAGAUAUCAAUGUGAGUGAGUAGGGAUUGCCAUGCAACGAAUGCAGUAGAGCUAUAAAUAUAUGAAAGCUGAAAAAAGAAACUAAGUGGGUGUGCAUCCAACUUGCUUGCUCAUGAAGACCUAGGGCAUUUUGAGGAAGCCCAUUGUUGGAAUAUACAAGCCAAGUUCUAUAAUGAAAAAUUCCCACUAAGUAUACGAAAGUGACAACAUAGGAGACUCUCUAUCAUGAAGAUCAUGGUGCUACUUUGAAGCACAAGUGUGGAAAAAGAGAUAGUAGCAUUGUCCUUUCUCUCUUUUUAUCUCAUUUUAUUAUUUUUUCUUUUCUCUUUUUUUCUUUGGCCUUUUUUUUUCUUUUUGGCCUUUCUCAUUUUUUUUCUUUUUUUUAUUUCUCUUUUUUUUCUUUUUGUAAAGUCCGAAGUCUCAUCCCUACUUGUGCGGGAAUCAUAGCCUUCAUCAUCCUUACCUCACUAGGACAAUGCUCUAAUAAUUAAGAUCAUCACACUUCUAUGGAUUUACAACUCAAGAAUUACAACUCAAAGCUAGAACAAGAUCUGACUCUAUAUGAAUGCCUCCGGCGCUGUACCGGGAUAUGCAAUGAAUCAAGAGCGACAUGUAUGAAAAUUAUGAAGGUGGCCUUGCCACAAAUACGAUGUCAACUACAUGAUCAUGCAAAGAGCAAUAUGACAAUGAUGGAACGUGUCAUAAUAAAUGGAAUGGUGGAAAGUUGCAUGGCAAUAUAUCUCGGAAUGGCUAUGGAAAUGCCAUAAUAGGUAGGUAUGGUGGCUGUUUUGAGGAAGGUAAAUAAGGGGUUUAUGAUACCGACAAAAGUUGCGCGGUAAUAAUAAAGGCUAGCAACGUAAAAGGAUGAGUGUGCAUAUGUCCAUGGACUCACAUUAGUCAAAAGAGAACUCAUAUACUUAUUGAAAAAGCCUACUUAGCCCUCGAAGCAAAGUACUACUACGCAUGACCCAAGAGGGAUAGAUUGGUAGGAAAAGACCAUCGCUCGUCCCCGACUGCCACUCAUAAGGAAGACACUCAAAAGAGCACCUCAUCCAACAAAUUUGUCACACAACUUUUACCAUACGUGCAUGCUACGGGACUUGCCAACUUCGACAAAAGUAUUUCUCAAUUUCAUAAUUACCCACUAGCAUGACCCUAACAUUACUACCUUUAUAUCUCAAAACAACUAUCAAGCAUCAAGUUGAUCAUAGCAUCCAAUUCUUAUUCUAUGAUAGUUUUUAUUAUACCCAACUUGGAUGCUCAUCAUUCUAAGACCAACUUUGUAACCAUAGCAAAUACCAUGUUGUUCUAAAAAACUCUCAAAAAUAUAUAAGUGAAGCAUGAGAGACUAGAAAUUUCUUCAAAAUCAGGACACCACCAUGCUCUAAAAGAUAUAAGUGAAGCACUAGAGCAAAAACUAUCAAGCUCAAAAGAUAUAAGUGAAGCACAUAGAGUAUUCUAGCAAAUUCUAAUCAAAUAAGCUUCUCCCAAAAGGUGUGUACAGCAAGGAUGAUUGUGGUAAACUAAAAAGCAAAGACUAAUAUAAUACACGAUGCUCCAAGCAAAACACAUAUCAUGUGGCGAAUAAAAAUAUAGCUCCAAGUAAAGUUACCAAUGAACGAAGACGAAAGAGGGGAUGCCUUCCUGGGGCAUCCCCAAGCUUAGGAUUUUGGCUAUUCUUGAAUAUCUUGGGGUGCCUUGGGCAUACCCAAGCUUAGGCUCUUGCCACUCCUUAUUCCAUAGUCCAUAAAAACUUUACCCAAAACUUGAAAACUUCACAACACAAAACUCAACAGGAAAUCUUAUAAACUCCGUUAGUGAAAGAAAACAAAACCACUACAUAAGGUACUGCAAUGAACUCAUUAUUUAUUUAUUUUGGUGUUAAACCUACUGUAUUCGAACUUCCUUAUGGUUUAUAAACUAAUUUACUAACCAUAGAUGCAUUGAAAUAAGCAAACAACACACGAAAAACAGAAUCUGUCAAAAACAGAACAGUCUGUAGCAAUCUGUAACUAACGCAAAUUGCUGGAACUCUAAAAAUCCUACCAAAAUAGGAAGUCCUGGACAAUUUGUUUAUUGAAAAGCAGAAAAAAGAAUCAACGCAAAAUCACGUUCCUGUGAUUUAACAAAAUUAUAUUCGUGCCCGCAAAGUUUCUGUUUUUCAGCAGAAUCAAAUCAACUAUCAUCGUAGGUUAUCCUAUAGGUUCUACUUGGCACAAACACUAAUUAAAAGAUAAAACACAUCUAAACAGAAGGUAGAUGCAAGAUUUAUUACUAAACAGGAGCAAAAACAAAGAACAUAAAGAAAAUUGGGUUGCCUCCCAACUAGCGCUAUCGUUUAACGCCCCUAGCUAGGCAUAAAAACAAAGAUAGAUCUAAGUAGUGCCAUAUUUGGCACUAGAUUCGUAAGUAGCACGCAUGAUAGAUUCAUAAGGUAAUUUGACUUUAUUUCUUGGAAAGUGCUCCAUGCCUUUCUUUAAUGGAAAUUGGAAUCUAAUAUUCCCUUCCUUCAUAUCAAUAAUCGCACCAAUCGUUCUAAGAAAAGGUCUACCAAGAAUAAUAGGGCAAGAAAGAUUGCAAUCUAUAUCAAGAACGAUAAAAUCUACGGACACCAAAUUUCUAUUUGCAACAAUAAGAACAUCAUUGAUCCUUCCCAUAGGCCUUUUAAUGGUGGAAUCCGCAAGGUGCAGAUUUAAAGAGCAAUAAUCAAGAUCAUGGAAACCUAGAAUAUCACAUAAAGUUUCGGAAUCGUGGAAACACUAGCACCCAAAUCACACAAAGCAAAACACUCACAAUCUUUAAUUCUAAUCUUUAUAGUAGGUUCCCACUCAUCAUUAAGUUUUCUAGAUAUAGAAACUUCCAAAAUUAAGUUUUUCAUCAUAAGAUUGCAUCAAGGCAUCAACGAUAUGUUUGGUAAAAGUUUUAUUUUGACUAUAAGCAUGAGGAGAAUUAACAAUGGAUUGCAACAAGAAAAUACAACCUUUUAAAGAGCAAUUAUAAUAAUCAAAUUCCUUGAAAUCCGAGAUAGUAGAUUCAAUAUUAUUAGAAGUUGAGGAUUCUCCAAUCUCACUUUUACCAAAUUUAGCAAUAAGAUCUAAAGAUUCCGAAUUCUUGGGACGCCUUCUAGGCAAAGUUGAUUCAUCAUCAGUCCCAUUAUCAUCAAAAUUCAUAUUGCAAAAUAUAGAUCUAAUAGGAGACACAUCAAUAACUUUAAGAUCCUCAUCAUUAUUUUCACCUAACUUUUCUGGUUCAGCGGCCAUCUUAUUGACUAAGGUGGCUUGCUUAUCAGAAAUUUUGGCUAUAGUAUUUUCAAGACGGGUAAUUUGAGCAUUAACACCAUAAAAUUCUUCAUUCAUAUCAUCAAGCUCUUUGUUCCUAAACCCCAAAAAACCUUUUUGUUCCUUAAGCUCUUUUCUAAAGAAGUUAUUAUGCUAAAAUUGCAAAUUCAUAAAGCUUCUAAUAUUUGAUUCAAUCUCUUCCAUCCUUCUGAGAAGGUGGUCAUGACCCUUAGGCGAAGCCAUAAGGACAAACAGGCACACAAGCAAACAGAGAAGGGCAAGCGAAAGAGAGGAGGAGAUUGCGAAAGAGAGGGCGAAUAAAACGGCAAGGGUGAAGUGGGGGAGAGGAAAACAAGAGGCAAAUGGUAAAUAAUGUAAAUGCGAGGGAGAUGGGUUUGUGAUGGGUACUUGGUAUGUCUUGACUUGAGCGAAGACCUCCCCGGCAACGGCGCCAGAAAUCCUUCUUGCUACGUCUUGAGCUUGCGCUGGUUUUCCUCGAAGAGGAGAGGGUGAUACAUCAAUAGUAGCGUAAGUAUUUCCCUCAGUUUUUGAGAAACAAGGUAUCAAUCCAGUAGCUGGCUCCUCAAAAGUCCCACGCACCUACACAAACAAACUGAGAACUCGCAACCAACGCGAUAAAGGGGUUGUCAAUCCCUUCACGGCCACUUGCGAAAGUGAGAUCUAAUAAAGAUGGUAAGAUAAGAUAAAUAUAUUUUUGGUAUUUUAUAAUAUGGAUGCAAAAAGUAAAGAUGCAAAUAAACAUAGAAUGAAAGCAAAUAUGAUAAGAGAUAGACCCGGGGGCCAUUGGUUUCACUAGAGGCUUCUCUCAAGAUAGCAUAAGUAUUACCGUGGGUGAACAAAUUACUGUCGAGCAAUUGAUAGAAAAGUGCAUAGUUAUGAGAUUAUCUAGGCAUGAUCAUGUAUAUAGGCAUCACGUCCAUAACAAGUAGACCGACUCCUGCCUGCAUCUACUACUAUUACUCCACACAUCGACCGACUCCUGCCUGCAUCUAGAGUAUUAAGUUCAUAAGAUCAGAGUAACGCAUUAAGCAAGAUGACAUGAUGUAGAGGGAUAAACUCAUGCACUAUGAUAUAAACCCCAUCUUAUUAUCCUCGAUGGCAACAAUACAAUACGUGCCUUGCAACCCUUUCUGUCACUGGGUAAGGACACCGCAAGAUUGAACCCAAAGCUAAGCACUUCUCCCAUGGCAAGAAAGACCAAUCUAGUAGGCCAAACCAAACUGAUAAUUCGAAGAGACUUGCAAAGAUAACUCAACCAUACAUAAAAGAAUUCAGAGAAGAUUCAAAUAUUAUUCAUAGAUAAACUUGAUCAUAAACCCACAAUUCAUCAGAUCUCAACAAACACACCGCAAAAAGAGUUUACAUCGAAUAGAUCUCCACAAGAGAGGGGGAGAACAUUGUAUUGAAAUCCAAAAAGAGAGAAGAAGCCAUCUAGCUAAUAACUAUGGACCCGUAGGUCUGUGGUAAACUACUCACAACUCAUCGGAGGGGCAAGGAUGUUGAUGUACAGGCCCUCCAUGGUCGAUUCCCCCUCCAACAGAGUGCCCGGCGAAGGCUCCAAGAUGGGAUCUCGCGGAUACAGAAGAUUACGGUGGUGGAAAUUGUGUUUCGUGGCGCCCCUGGAUGUUUUCGGGGUACAUAGGUAUAUAUAGGAGGAAGAAGUACGUUGGUGGCCGCCCGAGGGGCCUACGAGACAGGGGGCAUGCCCUACAGGGGGGCGCAGCCUCCUAUCUCGUGGAGCCCUCGACUGCUUCUUGACUUGCACUCCAAUCUCUCCGGAUCACGUUCGUUCCAAAAAUCACGCUCCCGAAGGUUUCAUUCCGUUUGAACUCCGUUUGAUAUUCCUUCUCUUCGAAAUACUGAAAUAUGCAAAAAAAACAGCAAUACAGGCUGGGCCUCCGGUUAGUAGGUUAGUCUCAAAAAUGAUAUAAAUGUGUAAAAUAAAGCCCAUAAACAUCCAAAAGAGGUAAUAUAAUAGCAUGGAACAAUCAAAAAUUAUAUAUACGUUGGAGACGUAUCACCCAGUUGCACAGAACAUGCUGCCUAGUUGCGUGCGCUGUGUUAGUUUGAGGAUCAAGCUAAAAAUCUAACUUGUUUUUCCUGUUCUACCCAUAGGCAAUUACAAUCCAAGUACCAUGACGGGACGUGCUACUCCAAGUGUUUUUUCAACUUAACCUGCACACAUCAACCAGUUAGGUGCACAGCAUGGGCUGCGUGGUUGCAGAGAACAUUAGUGCUGGUUGCACAACAAAAAAAGUACUAAAUUUUUUAUAUGAUUAUUACACAGGUGAUCGUGAUGGUCCUACUGCCCCGUUGGAGGAUGCAUCCCCUGCACAAGCUUCUGAUGACUUUGUGCCCAGGGAUCCUCCAAGGUCUACUACAAAGGGUAGGGCAAAAAGUUGACGGUACAAAUCGGCGCUGGAGCUACACCCAAAGAAGAAAAACAAAUGCAACCAAUGCCAAUCUACAGAGCACACUGCUGGUGUGUGUGUCCACUCAGGCUACUGUGAUUCUGUUUCACCAUUUGUAACUUUGAGACAAAAAAGGAAAAGAAUGAUGUUUUUUAGCAAUGCUGGGACCAAGUAGACACAUUCAGCAUCUAUGAUUUCUCUUUAUCUAAUUUAUGCUCCUUGAAUUAUUUCAUGCACUGUGUAAAAAAUGUUGCUAUUUGUACCUUUGUUGGCAACUGGUUAAAUAUUUAGUUGUUGAACAAUUGUAUGUCAAGUGCUCCUAAUAUAUCAACAAAAGUGAUGAUAUUGACUUGCAAACGGAAUUGCUACUAGUGUGCAACUACAAAAUCUGCUUAAAAAUUGUGCAAACCAGCAACUACCUCCAUGGAGCAGAGAAAGAAAAAGAGUACUGACCUAGUCCUUGUCGUAUCUCAGCAACUUCCUCCAUGGGGCGGUGUUGUGCACGCUGGUGACCCAGUCAUAUGCCAUCUUCUUCCUGAUGUUGAGUACUUCCUUGGGUUCGUAGUUGGGCAGUUGGCUAUCGUUCCACUCGGUGGCGUUAAGCAGUGCGAACAACCCACACUCAUUACUGCGAUGGGCAAGAAAAGAAAAUUUGUCACAUAAAAUUAAAACCAAAUAAAGAUAAUGCACUCUGUGCAACUGCUUAUGUUCUACUGUGCAACUGUUUAUGUUCUACUGUGCAACUACUUAUGUUCUACUGUGCAACUUCUUAUGUGCCACUAUGCAACUGCUUAUGUGCCACUCUGCAACUGGCUAGAUAAUCCAUUAGAAACUCAUAAAAAUGAUAAACAGAUUGCAGACUAGUACUGUGUCUUAAAAAACUAAAGAUUGCACAUGUAGAAAAAUUUAAAAACUACAAAAUGAUGGUAAGAAAUUGAGAAGAGAGCCAUGCUUAUUGUCUUACUUGCCGAGCUGCUUCGGUACGUCAAUGUAAAUAAUCUGAAAGUGCUCGAUGCUGAAAUUUGGGUAAUGCUUCCUCCAUAGCUGGCGUACUGCCCCCGCGAUGGUAGAGGCGGUGGUCAUCAGCUCAAUGUCAUCUAGCGUCCUGCUUGAAUCAAGAACUUCGAAGCGUCCGUCCCUCAAGUUGACAUUGAAGACCCAAUAAUGCCUCCCUCCCUCCUUAUCGGUUACAUCAGUGCACUCGAGCACUGGCAGCAUGACCUGCAAGUGUGAACGAUUUCAGACAUAGAUACAGGCUGUAGCUAAGAAAAAACAGUAAAAGACUUGGUCAAGUUAAAACAUGUUGCAACAAGUAUGUGCCAACUAACAGAUGUGCCAUGUGCAACUGAACAUGCUGUGGGUGUCAACAAAAAGAGAUGGAUCAUGUGGGCACAACACUCACCAAGUCCUUCUUGUCGAGACGGUUCUUGUAAUCAAACUUCUUGUUUAUCUCUUUCACGUUGUGGAUACCUUGCUGUAAAUUCAUCUGCAGAGAUUAUAAAGCAUGGCUCAAACUCCUUAGUAGAUGAAAGGCCUCCCUCAAUUGGUCAACAAAAAAGUGCUACAGAACAAAGAUGAGGGUAAGGAAGGUUUUGGAAAAACUUACCGAAAAACUCAGUGGCAUAACAACCUUCUUUGACCCUUCUAGUAAGCUCUCCAUGAUGUGUAAGAUUCCAGUCUCAAUAACAAUUUUUGACAGCCAUUGAACCGGCUUCAUCGAAUCAACUAACUCCUUUAAAGAAAUGUAGAAAUCACCAUACCUGAUUAUCUCAGGGCUGAAUUUUUUUUGAAAGCAAUAAAAAGACAAGUUAGCUCGAAGGGUCAUAGUAGCAAAAAAAAUGUGCAUGAAAUUGAAAAACAGAACAGUGUGCAACUAAAAGCCCUGUUCUGUGCAACAUGCUAUGCUUUCUGUGCAACUAAGUGGCUGGUCUUGUGCAACUGAAAAAGAUAUGUAUGUAGGCUGUGGGGAGUUAGUUUACCUGGUAGCUUCAUCAUUUGCUCCUUCAUGAUGCCUGGCCCAACACAAGAGGGCAGCGUAAAGCUUGUUCACUGCCUCAUUGGAGCUGAAAGACUUCUUCUUGUUGUAGUCAAUGAAUGGAGACCUUUGAGAUGCCGCGAGCCUUAUUACCGUCCUCUGUCUUCAUGCAAUAGGUGGUCCUGAAGAACAGCUCGUGUCAGCUUCUGGUUCUGCGCAUAUCGGGGUGUGGCAAUUCUCUGGUGAUCCAACAUCUAGCUCUUGAGCUAUUGCCUUGCCAGCAUCAGCAGCAGCGCAUCCUUCAUUCACAGCUGCUGGGUCCAACUCACACUCAUCAAUACUAAUCACACCGGCUUCCGCUGUUUCUGCUGCUGGAGCAGGUGCUGGAGCAUGACCAUCUAUGCCGAGGUCAAAAGAUGGUGCAUCACAGAACCCGUCACCAUGAUAAGACUUUAAUCUUCGUAUGGGUUCAAGGACUAGGGCAUCUCCUUGCGGCACAAACAUGGGUGCAUCAUUCACUGACUUGGUUCGUGAUAGUGUUGUAGUUGGCAGCCUUGGAGGCUUGCACCUACUUAUAAUCUUGAACACCUCCUCUUGUGUUAAUGGUUGCUGAAAGUCAGCUCUUGGUGAUGCAGGCUUGCUUGGCUGUUGUGUGCUGGCUCUUGGGGACGGCAAUUUGGUAGUAGGAUCACCUCCUUUUGUGUUUGGCAUUGAAGCAUCUCUAUGAGUAGGCACUUUGGGGCUUGCAGUUGCAGUGGUGCCUUCCUGAGCAGAUGUGGUGGUUUUGACUAUGACCACGCUGCUAACUGACACAUCAGUUGGCACACUGGUAUCUGUAGUUGGCAUCUUUCCAGUCUGAGUUGGCAGCAACCUAGCAGAACUUGGCACCCCUGCAUCAAUGGUUGCAGCUCGCAGUUCUCUCUCGUCUCUGAACCCCAAAUCUUUUGUGGCCUGUUCCCCCUUUGUGCCGCUGGCAAACUUGACAAUCUUUUGUUGCUUAGGUGGUUUUGGUGGGACUGUUGAAAGGGGAGUCUUCCCCUUGAUCUGUUGAACUCCUGUUAUGGUGGUUGGCUCUCUGCUCACUACAGUUGGCAUAUCAGUUUGAAGCACAGCUUUCUUGACCAUAUUUACUUCAGCAUCUGCACUCACCAUCUUCUCCUUGGUUUGAGGCAAAUGUAGAUUCUUCUUCAUUGAAACUUCUUUACGCUUCUGGACCACGUGAGGGUUUGCCAUGGAUGCUACCUUGCUCUUGCCGGAGCUUAGGUCUCGAAGCUGCUUCAAAUAUUCCUUGUAUUUUUCCUUUGAAUGAACCCAGUCAAGACCCUUUCCUGCUUUCUCCAUGUCAAUUUGAUUCUUUUCAGCAACACUUGAUAAGAACGGGCUCUUGUCAAUGGCAACGUUGAUCUUCUCACACAUAUCUUGGUCGCUAAAAUAUGGCACAGGAAAGGUGGUUGGCAAAGCUGGCUUCAAGUUGCAGAGCUUGAACAUAUCAAUGCUGCACUGGGACUCUGCUUCGUCAUUUUUCUUUGACUUCGGCAAAUCCUUGUCUUCCAGCAAGUUUUGUCAAUUAGCAUCUGUAGUGUGCUCCUGCUACUCAGUGAAUUGCUGCUGCUGGCAGGAGUGGCAGAAGUGCUAGUCCUACUGGAUGUGUUGCCGCCUGUACGACCAGAACCAGGGGCAUUGUCAUCAUCAUCAUCAUCGCUGCUGUCGCUGCCUCCACUGGAUCCCCCUUUAUCAUCACCAUAACCCACCUCGUCUUCUUCUUCAUCAUCUUCUUCCCUCUCACUGCCAUCAACUGCUGCACCUUUGUCCCCGUCCACCUCUUUGGCCUCACCUUCUUCUUCCUCCUCCUCUGCCUCACUAUCUUCUUCCUUGUCCUCCUCCUCUCCUUUGUCCUCUUCUUGUUUGUCCUCCUCCUCCUCCUCCUCCUCCUCUUCCUCCUCCUUCUCCUCCUCUUCCUCCUCCUCUUCCUCCUCCUCCUCUGCAUCUUCUUCAUUGUCAUCCUCAUCCUUGUCCUCAUCCUCUGAUUCAUCCGCAUUUGUGUCGUCGUCAUUGUCAACAUCUAUCGCUGCUUCCAUUUCCUCAUCUUCUUCUGACUCAUCCUCAACAAACUCUUCUUCUUGUUGUAUAAUUGACCCCCGUCUCUUUCUUUUUGGAGCACGGCGUGACGCCCCGGUUUGCAUUGAUGGCUGCUGUACGUAAGGAUCAAUAUCCGGUUCCUCAUCAUCAAUCUUGGCAACUGCUUCAAUGAAGGUGCCAACCUGUUCAGUUACAGCCUUGCACAGGUCAUUGACCACUUUCGCAAUCUUUGCCUUUUUCUGCAUCAACACAAAAAAAAGAUUCAAUAUUGAUUCAGUUAGAAAAAAUUAAAAAGUAAAAUGUUUGUAACUGACCAUGAUGUGAUAAGCAAAAACCGACUAAUACACACUUUUUGGCCAACUAAAAACAUGAUUCUAGCCAACUACACAUGCACUGUGGCACAAACUAAAAACAUGCAUUCUACCCAGUUGAUGUCAAUGGUUGUAAACGAACACUUUGACUGUCAAAAAGAACAUGUGCAACUAUAGAAGCUUAUAUGUGCAACUGAACAUACAUCACAACCAACUGAAUCCUUUAUUCUCGCAACUACAAAAGUUAUACAUGUCCAACUGAACAUACAUCCCAGCCAAAAGAAAAUGUUGGUAAGUGGUACAAAUUUAUGUAUGCAAAACACUAACCUGCGGAUUGUAGGUUAUUGGUAACUUGGAUGCCACGAAUGCUUCAGCUUGCAAAAUUCCACCAAACAGUGGUGUCUGCUCCGUGCCUCUAUACUCCUCUUUAAGCUGAUGUAAAAAAACAGAAAAAGAAAAGAACAAGGUUAUCAAAACAAAUUUUUGUGUUAAACAAAACCAAACAUUAUAACCUGUGCAACUACAACAAGAUACUAUGGUAGACAAUUCGACUAUACAUAUAUGCAACUGAACAAAGAUACAAAAACUGUGCAACCCACAUGGCACCUAAAUUUUUUUUCUACCAACUGAUGCCACACAUCUAUGCAACAAGAUUAGUAAAACUGUGCAACUUAAAAAAGAUGGUGUGCCAAUUUAAAAUGAACAUGUGUGCAGAUGCCAAACUUAAAGCUACAAGCUGUGCAACUACAUGAAUUGUUGUGCCAACUGAUGACAGUUUUUGUGCAAUUUCCAAAAAAGUGACUAGACAUCAAAAGAACAUAAAAAAAGAGACUGUUGGAAAAAAACAAAGAGAACUCACUUGUAAUUUGCCGAACACACCAGGAGAGACGGUAUCAUUCUUCAUCACCUUGGCAAUUAGAGUACCAUCCCAUGCAUUCGGUCGCAUCGCGCAGUUGCUUACUGGGAUGUCAUGGACAAGCGCAUCAAGGUAUAGUAUCUUCACCAGACCCAACAAAAGAAAAGCCAAGUUCAGUUAUUAUUAUGAGUAUUUCAGCAAACUAUAACUGCACAAAAAGAAAAAGAACAGAUGGAAGUGGUCGUUUUCACUAACCAUCAAGUGAUACAAGCAGCAGCAAACAGUUUGCUUCUCCUGGUCCAUGUUCCGGAAAGCUUCGUUAAUGUGUUCUGCUACAAAAAGGCAGAUGUUUGUGUUCUUGAGGUUUUCAUGAUCAAGGCCGUGGUUGGUGCUAAGAAAGUGUUGAAGGCAACUACAAGCCAGGCCAUAAAGAAUGUGUCAUCCGUUCUUCCCCCCAUAUCCUUAAUCAUCGUGGUCCAUGUACUGAUCUGGGGAUGAGAAGUUCCAGUUAUGUUGAAGGUCUCUCUGAAUCUCCUAGUUGUUUCCUUGUCAACUUUGUAACAGACUUUUAGACCCCUGUUAGGAAGAUCAAAUACCCUUUGAACACUGUCAGCAUCGACACGGAUCCUUCCCCUUCCUAGGAAAACCAUUUCAGAGGUCUGUGGCUGGUAGGACUGCACCAGGAACUUAGUGAGGUCUGCUGGAAGUGUGUCUGACAAGUUCAAUAGCCCCCCGAACAAACUCUAAACUAGCUCUGACUUCUGUGGUGGGGUUAGAGAGGCGUUGAAAUUUGCAAACCGCGCUGGUGAUGCCCUUAUCCUGCCUGCUUGUGAUGGUCGCUCCACAUCUUCCCCUGCAGCCACCUCAACUCCUUCACCGCUGGCCUGUUAAUGAGAAUAUAAAAACAUUAAGGAAACAUUAAAAACAAGAGAAAAAAUAAGAAUGAAAAAAAAAUCUAACAAUCAUCAUUUGGAUCAGUAUUGGAAAAAGCUAUAUAUUCAUAAAAUGGAUCAUGCCAACUAAUAUGGUGUAUUUGUGCAACUAAUAAAGACCAUGAGGACAACUAAAGACUGCCAGUGUGCAACCUUCAAAAAAAACUAAGAAAAUAUACGAUACCUGGCAACUACAAAAAGUUCUAACGGAUGUGCAACAAUAAGAAAUGAUAUUGCAACAAGAUAACAACAACUAAAAAAAGGUUUGCAAGGAACUGUUCAAUAGCUCAUAAACACACAAAAAAACCACAUACCUCAGCAUCCGUUGCGGAAGAUGCGACAGGUCCUCCAGCAACUGUUGCCUGCACAAAAAAAUGACCAGUGAUGUCAACUAUAAAGAAGCCAACUUGUCAACUACAAGAUGCCAACUAAUGCCAACUAAUGUCAACUGUAUUUAGAUCAAGAUGGCUAGAGAUGUCAACUACAAGGUUGUUAUUGACAAACUAAAAACAAAAAUGGUGGUGAGACCUGCUGCAUAAUUUCAUCAGCGUCUAAAAAGCGAGAAACACUUAUAUUCGAGAAUUUACUUGCCCUAGAAGAUGACUCAACUCCCUUUCCAACUGUUGCACGUCUAGUCCGCUUUACAACACGGAACUGAUCAGCAUCCUAAGAAAAAAUAAAAAACCAAAAAAUGGGCUUGUGUCAUCAGCAUGCCACUUACCUCAACAUCCUCUCCUUGCUCAACACUCCGCGCAAGUCGUGCCUGGCGAUUAGGAGGACGCUUCGACCUCCAGCGAAGCGACUGACUUCCAGAACGCUGAUUAAGCAACCCAAAAAGAAAACAUGAAAAAAGGACAUUAGCAUACAUGCAUAAGUUGAAAACAACUCAAAAACACAGAAAAAGUGAAAAAAAAAGACAUCUUCUUCAUUGCCAUCCGCUUCUCCUCCUAUUAUAACCAUUUUUGCCCUGCAGGAGGAAAUAUAACAAAAGAAAACAUAGUUAGAAGAUGCGGAAACAAACUAGGGAAAUCAUAGAAGGUUGCUUUGAUUUGCAGACAUCUACACAUAAGCAGGACACAAAAAGCAAAAAACCAAAAAACAUGUGGACAACCAACUACUACAAUGAUGUAGCCAACUGGGCAGUAAACCUUGUGCAAACUAGACAACAUAUAAACCAACUAACUAUUUUCUGCCUAGGUCUUACUUGCCAACUGUGACAAGUAAUAACUAGGCAGAAAAUAGUUAACUAAAGGCAACAAGCUCAGUAAGAUAACUUGUGCAAACUGGAACAAGCAAAAAAUGCAAAGCAAAAAAUCCAGCAAAACAAUUGGGCAUACUAUAUUGAAAAAUUAGCAACCAUUCAGUGCUAAUUUGCAAAAAUAAUUGUCCCUAGUUGCACAUGAGGGGAACGCAUGAAAACAACCACAUCCACAACAAAGACUUGCACAUUGAGAAAAAUUAAAUUGGAAAAUUGGCAAGUAUUGGUACUAAUUUGCACAAUCAAGGGGCCCCUAGUUGCACAAAGCAGGAGAAAGCACAUGAACCACCACAGCCACCAUAAUGCUGGUGGAUAGGGUAGACUAUAUUGGAAAACUGGCAAGCAUUGAUGCUAAAUUGCACAGACAAGAGUCCCUAGUUGCACACAGCAGAGGGGGGAAAACAGCAAAGCCAACUAAGUAGAGCAACUAGCACAAAGUGUAUAACAUAUGAACAGUCAACUAGUAAAAGUGAUGCAGCCAACUGAGCAGGCAACUUGUGCAAUUGAAUACCGUAUAGACAACCAACUAGUACAAACAGUGAGCCAACUGACCAAAACAACUGCUGCAACUGCAGAGCAUAUGGACAGCCAGGUACUAUAUGGACGCAGCCAACUGAGCAGAAUUUUGUGCAACUAACCACUUGAAUUACUGAAUCAUGAACUUGCAGGAUCAGGGAAAAUCAGCCAAUGCAUUGCACAUUACAUUGCGCGCAUCUAAUACAACUUGCAGGAUGACUAAGAAUCAUGAACAGAUCUCAAACCUCUGCAAAAUUGAACAGAACAUGAACUAAACAGCCAAAUCGCCCUAAAAUCGCAACGGGCGCCAUGGACAUGCAUCCCUUCUACCUAACGACUACCACGUACCCUGGCCAACUACACGUUGACCCUGGCUAGCCACCCCCGUGCCGUCAAGGGAGUACUAAUUUGCACAAGUGAUGAUAUCUAUUUGCACACGGCAGAAUAAAAAAACACGUGGACCACCACAUCCACCACAAGGCUGGCAGAUUGGGUACACUAUAUUGCAAAAAAUGGCAAGCCUUGGUGCUAAAUUGCAAACAAGGGUUCCUAGUUGCACACAGCAGCGGGAAAACACACGAACCACCAGAUCAAUCACAAAGGAUGGCAGCUUGGCUAGUUAAUGUUGGGAAAUUGGCAAGCAUAGAUACUGAUUUGCACAAAAAAAUGGUCCCUAAUUGCACACAGCAGGGAAAAACACAUGACCCAGGAGAACCACCACAAGGCUGACACAUGGCUAUAUUGUCUCAAAAAUUGUCUACUGCUGCUCCUAUUUUGCACGCAAGGGGCAACACAGUUGCACACCGCGGGGGGAAAACACUCAUCAAAAACACCAGAUCCACCGCGAGGCUACAAUCCACAAACGAACCUCUAUGGCCGCUAACCAAUCAUCCUCCCUGAACCACUCAUCCCGUACGUAUAUACACGAACUCUCCCCCUAUUGCAAUGCAAAAACGACGGGAUGAGCACGACCCUAGCCCAUCCCUGCCAAUCCGGCGGUUUCCCAAACGAAGUAGUCCGCGGGGGUGACCUCAACCUCGCCGGAAAAUGAGUUCGACCUUCCUACCCCCGACCGUGACCUCGAGUUCGACCUUUACCUCGACCUCACCGAAAAAUGUGGGACCUCACCGGAAAAAAGGAGGGGAUGGGGACGAGUACCGGGGAACGCAUGGUAGGAGCAGUACCUGUGCCGCCGCGGACAACGACCCUCGCGGUGCGCCCCGCCGUUGACCACAACCAAUGGCGGAUUUGGAGCCGCCUCCGAGCACCAACCAGCGGCGAGAGCAGGGGGAAAGAGGAGGAAUGGGCGGCGACAGGUGCGGGGUGGACGGGGUAAUGGCACGAAAUUCGAAACCGCCACCCACUACGCACGACGGCUAUCACGCUGGGGAACUGCCUAAUCCUCUAUGACGUGUGGGUCCGUCGGGAAGUUUAUCUCGCGCGGCGCGGCUCGAUCGGACCAGGCGAUCGGUCCACGCGCGGUCCGAGCGGCGCGGCUCCACCACCCGACCAGGGAACACCUGGACAUCGCGCGCCGUCGAUCGGAACGAGAUCGAGCGGCUCUCGUUCGGCCGCUCGUUCUCUCUAGAUAGUGCGCGUGUAUUUUUUAGGUUUUGGGAUAAAUAAACUGUGAGAUGCUUUCACGGUGGGCCUUUGCCCAUCCCGUACUAUUCCACUCCACCGCCGCCAUCCAUCUCUCAUCCCAACCUACCUAUUCCAGCCGCCUCCAAGCUAUGGAGAAGCCAGUGAAGGUGCCGAUGUCCAGGCUCACCGACGACCUAAUCGCGGAGAUCCUCUCUCGGGUGCCCUACAAAUCACUCUGCAUCUGCAAGUGUGUGUGCCCGGCCUGGCGCGACCUCAUCGCCGACCCCGCGCACCGGAAGAAAGUUGUGCAGACCCUGGCCGGCUUUUUCUACCGCAUCACCGGCGAGGUCACGGCCGUCAAGUACGCCGACCUGUCCGCCUUCCCCUGGUCGAGCGUUCCCAAGACCUACCCACGCCUGCCACUGCCAACUGACAACAAUUUCUUCUCUCUUGAGGAUUCCUGCGAUGGAUUGUUUCUUGCCCGCAUUCGGACGGGCACCCCUGCUGGAAAAUUUCGCUACAUGGUCUCCAAUCCGGCCACGAAUGAGUACACUGUGCUGCCUGACUCUGGCUCCGCCGGCAACAUCUGCCUUGCUUACCUGGGUUUCGACAGUGAUGUUUCCACUCAAGAGUUUCAUGUGUUCGAGUUUGUACUGGUCCUCCGUGAGCCAUCCCUGGUUGUGAGGGGAGUGAAUAUUUACUCUUCAAAAACUGUUGCAUGGGUAGCAAUGGAACCCAAAUGGGACAUCCAAGUUACGUUGUGCUGGCGUAAACCAGGAGUUUUCCGUAAGGGGUUUCUGCACUUGCUGAUAGGUCAGUUUGGGUUGGCAAUACUUGAUGCAGAAGGGCUAACAUGGAGAAUUAUCCCGCUUCCAGUUGUAGAAAGUGUUAAUCCGUGUUUCUCCGGAUUCAUUGGAAAGUCUGCCGGACAGCUAAUUUAUAUCGACCGCGGUGCUAUUGAAGGACACGGCUCUAAUGCAUUGUUGACUAUAUCAGUUUACGUUCUUGGUGCUGAGAUAUGUCAGUGGGAUGUGACUCACCUGGAUGACAAGUGCAUGCGUUGGAAACUCUUGCACAAGCUUUCAAAUGUACUCCGAAGAAGAUGUUUCGGCUCUGUUUCAACCUCGAAGUCAUUGCAGUACACCCACAUGCCAAUAUAAUCUUCUUUGUAGCUCAUUGGAAGAAUGAACUGGUUGCAUACGAUCUGGAUCGUCAUGAGAAGCACAAUUGUGUAUCACAUUCACAUUGAGCCUAACUACUGGCAGUUUAUGAAUUUUUUCCCAUAUGUUCCAUCGUUGUCCCGCUUACCACUGGAUGGAGGAAUACAGCUGGCAACUCCAAAUCAAUGAAUGUUCUGCUCAUUAAAAGUUGGGCAGUCAGCGGUGAGGUGCUCCGGUGUGUUCUCAAGAGUAAUCUUCACAGAGAUUCAAAUACAGAUGAUAUUGUUUUGGAAAAUGCUAACUUCAGUUUUCAGUUCAGUUGGAAAAUGCCAACAAGUAGAGCUGCAUGAGAUACCUUAGUUUGUUAUAUUUUGACAUGUACUACUACUACCUUGUAUUUCUAUUAGAAUCUUAUGUUCUGAUAUGAAAAGGCAUAGUCUGAUAUGUGCACAUUCAAUCUGCAUUGGUUGGUUCUAUCUUGGUGUUUGCACUAAGNNNNNNNNNNNNNNNNNNNNNNNNNNNNNNNNNNNNNNNNNNNNNNNNNNNNNNNNNNNNNNNNNNNNNNNNNNNNNNNNNNNNNNNNNNNNNNNNNNNNNNNNNNNNNNNNNNNNNNNNNNNNNNNNNNNNNNNNNNNNNNNNNNNNNNNNNNNNNNNNNNNNNNNNNNNNNNNNNNNNNNNNNNNNNNNNNNNNNNNNNNNNNNNNNNNNNNNNNNNNNNNNNNNNNNNNNNNNNNNNNNNNNNNNNNNNNNNNNNNNNNNNNNNNNNNNNNNNNNNNNNNNNNNNNNNNNNNNNNNNNNNNNNNNNNNNNNNNNNNNNNNNNNNNNUUAUAUUCAUAGAAGUUUGCAUACGUAUGAAGCAUAUAUUGUGAUCACGCUGUCUCAAAAGGCUGAGAAAUGUCAAUGUUGAUGAUCCGUAAUCCUAGCUGGUUUAUAUCUGUCUCACAAAAUGGUCAAAAUCUCCUAAUAGGACUUGGAACCGUUUCUUGCUCCAUUUUUUCUUCUUCUAAUGGCUCCAAAUUCCAUGUCUAGAGUAUGUAGUUACGUUUUCCUGUCCUCUUUCGAUCUUUCAAUUUUGUUGGUCUGUGAUAUGAUUCCACUAUGAGAGGCACUAAUAUCUUCCCCCCUGUAAUUAACUAGUAUGUUCCAGUUCCAUCAGUUUGAGAUGAAAGUGUAUCCCUGAUUUGAAGCUUUUUACUAUUCACCAACCAAUAAACUAAAUAUUUUAGCCCUCACCUAUGGAAUCUUCGUCUAUAUCUGAACCUGACUGUUUUUGCUAGCAGCUUUCAAGAUUCUAUGUGCAAAAUGAAAGGUCCUAGUCCAUCUUUCUUUGGCUAACCAGAGUAGUUGCCUUGUCUCUACCAGUAUCAAAACAGACAGUGUAAUUUGCACUAUGCUGAUCACUCAGAUGUGGAGUAGAAUUAAUCAUUUCAGGGACAUGUUUAGUACAAUGAUAGAAUUAUUUUUUCCCAGUAGAUAAGCAUGUCAAUGUGUAUUCCGCUGAAUAAUGUGAAGCAUAUUGGCUGCUAAACCUUGCAUGCCCUCUAUUCCCUCUAGUAAUUAUCUACGGUUAUAUCCUCACUCGGACAGAAUUUUGUUAGCUCUAUGCUAAUUCUGUAUAAAUAAUGGUUACCAAUAUUCAUGUGAAGUUCUUAAAAGUCUUCUGUUGAGUCAAUUCUUGAGUAACGUAUAUAUACAAAUUUAGAGAAUCAUUACCUGUUCUUCUGUAGCCAUCUCUGCCUUGCUGUGAGGUGGCAAGAGGCAGUUUUCUUUAUGUUGGGUUGUUAUUCUGUUUUGCAGACUCAAAUAAGCAGCGUAUCAGUUACACGAAACCUCAGAUUUGACGCAGACCUCAUUGGUUGGCUGCCAAAGCCGUGGGGUUAGUUUGCUUAGUACACUCACUACAUAGUUUUUAGCUUUCUCUGCUGUGCUUUUCUCGCCUUUUUCUAUACAGAUCAAAUGUCUCAUACCUUAUCUGUUUUUUCUAAUUAUUUGCUAUCGCUGCAGUGCAGCGAUUUUAGACUGAUCUAAGCCCAGAUUAUGCUGUGGAAGACAGAUUCAUCAGAGGUUGCCUGAUCUAAGCCUAAUCUUCUACCCCUUUCAAGCACAGUUAGUGUUCGGAUGCCAGUCGGCGGAUGCAUCGGCCAAGCAUCAAUCAGUUCACUUCCAUCAGCAGGCUACGUUAGCACGGCGACUUCGUCGAGAUUGUUGGAUGGGUACCCACAGACUACGAAGCCCAAGAAACAAUGGGUAAACUCAAAGUCUGUAUAAUGUUGGUGAAAUUUGGGGACAUAAAUAAACUUAAGCAAGGCGAGUCGGCCAGGCAGUGGAUGACUAUCACCCCGCAGCAGCUAAGCAGGAAACGCUGGAUGGACCGCACCAUGCCGCCGUUUCCGUAUAUACAGAUGCAGAGCAAGAUGAAAGCUGCAGCCUCUCGUUCUGGCUACAUCGCAGAUUCAGAGAAAUAUUUGCUGGCUCUUAAUACGACACCUCAUAUUUGGCAAUAGUGACAACUUUAGAAAGACCUGUUGUUGGUGACGACGCUGAAUAGGUGCCAUCUGAUCCACGGCGUUCUUCGUGGCAAACACCGCAGCGCCGGACACGAGUCAGGUUUGAAGACCCUGUGUGCAUGCCUACGAGCUGCAGAUGCUUCAUGUGGCUAGCUGCCAAUAUUAGAUGCUGGACAGCGGAUAUGCUUCGACGCCGUGGGCUUUCAGCGACCAGCUGCCGGAGACGAUGUCACAUUUGCUGCUUGGCUUUGUCGUCGUGCGAGAGGUCUGGCAUUCCGUCCUCCACGAACGGCAGCAUAUGGAGUCGAUGUCUGACCACGACUAUAAGCUGAUUUACAUGGUGAACAACACAGUCAACGCGACGAAGGGAUGCAAGAGACAUGUGGAUAGCCGUCCUGUCUGGCAGUGCGGUGAAUGAUGUGAUCUUCAAUGACGUGGAGGUUUAAGGAGGCAUUGCUGUCUAUACCUACAAGAAGAGAAUGUGGACAUUUUUGUCUUGAGGAACUGGGUUUAGCUUUGACAGAUUUUGCUGUGCAACCGUGCCACUGUUCAACUCUGAGUAUAGUCUGUUGUCUGAACAAGUUAGCAGGAGCAUAGUCGGCACCAGAAGAUUUGGCAAAUAACUUCAGAAAUCUUGAUUGAACAUGGAUAUAUUAUUUCCUGGAAGGUAAGUCUAUAUAUUCAACAAGUUAGUAGCUGCAUGAUUGAUAAAGAGAUGUGGGCAUAUACUAUUGUUAUCCUGAUUCUAAGUUCUAGACAAUAUACUUCAACAGCUGGAGCCAUAUCAUUAUGUACAUAUAGCCACACUUCACACAUGCAAAUCAAGCUGUUUGGUUACUGCUCAGACAAGUCAGUCAAGCUCUUGCUCUACAACUAUGUCCCUGAUGGUAAUCUACAGGAGCUCCUCAGCGAGAACAGGAGCCUGGACUGGGAUUCAGGGUGGACACGGUCCGGGCCGGUCCGGUCCCUGACCGAGCCACCGUUUGGACCGGCCGCCGGCGGUCCGGACCGGACCGGACCGACCAGCCUCGCGGUCCUGGUUUCAAGGACCGGACCGGCGGCACUGAAGCCCGGGCCGGACCGAGCGGACCGGCCAACCACUACCAGCGACGACGUGCACGGGUGCACGGGUGCGCUGGCAAGGUGGGCGACGUGCGCACGACUGUGGCGAGAUGGGCGACAUGCGAUAGCGCGGGCGUCGAAGGGCGACCUGCUAUGGAAAGUGAUCUGGGUGGCGCGGCUGUUAGCCAUUAUUUUCUCUGUACCGUGAUGUUUCUUCCUUUGGCAGUUUUUCUACAGCAUGCAAGCAAUAUAGCACCUGCAUGAGCCCGUGAUUUUCUCUGUGAGGGCCUCGCCGUGAUUAGAGGAUCAAAUUGAACGUGGAGUUGAUCGUCAAAUGGCGCCGUGACUUUCGGAUCAGAUCCUUUUUCUCUCUUACUUUCUAUUUUCUGUUCGACUGAAACGGCAGCACGGGAUUGAUGGCGCGUGAUAAUAGGAAGAGGGCCCUAGUAUUAAAUCUUGGGCCUUCCAAAACAAUACUUUCCUGAUUUAUUGGAUGUGAAAAUCAUGACCGAGUAUUUCCCCCACGAUUCGAAAAUCACGAGAGAGUGUUUCUCCCACGAUUCGACUGGGCUGAAACGGCUGCUAUGGCACUUCGUCUGCACUGCAAAAAGCGUUGCCAUGGCAGGAAUUGCUGCCACGGUUGGGUCGAUGACAUGGUCGAGAACUCGAGAUCGGCGGCAGUUCACGCAUGGCAGCGAUGGCGAGCGGCAGCAAAAGGCUACGUCGCAAGGGUACGAGAGGAAGGAAGAAGAAGGGAAGCUCAUGGACAUGGUGGUUCAUCCAGGGGCUGCCGGUGGCCGCGAUGGCGAGGAACGGUGACUGCGGUGAUCGCGUUUUCUCGGUCCGCUCGGUCGGACCGGUUAAAGACCGGACCGGACCGAGAUUUUUUCGGGCCGAAUAUGGCAGCCCGGACCGCCCCUUUUCGCUAGCGGGCCAGGACCGAGCGGGCCAAGACCGAGCGGGCCACGAGCGGGCCAGAAAGACCGCUCGUUACGUCCACCUCCGACUGGGAUACACGGUACAAGAUCGUGGUCGGGGCAGCACUGAUACUCUACCGGGAUGUCAAGUGCGACAACAUCCCACAUAACCGACAUCAACACACAUACGAAAGUAAGCACGUCGAUAGAAAGUAAAGUCAUACAAGACCGAGCUUGCCCACAUGAAAAAAAAACCGAUGCCAUCGAAACAACGAUUGACAAAAUGCAACAACGACCUAAUUGAACCGGGUGCUUAUCUCCACUGAUCUUGGUUUCUCAGUUGGUUUUGCUGAUCAGGCAUGGUAUUGUUUGGGCAGACUGGGUGAUGAUGUAGAGGGUGGUUAAAGGGAGUGGAUUCGCGAAAGUGCUCUUCUGAUCCCGAGCUUCAUGUGAGCUCGGGUGAACAGUAAAUGGAAAAAAAAUCUGAUUUUUUUGUUCCAAACAUUGGCAAAUGUUUUCAUUGCUUGCAAAAUUUUAUCAUGAAAUGACAUUCUUGAAAUUUGUGUAAAAAAUGAUGCUCCAAAAUACUUUUGAAAAUGAAAUUGCUGCUCAUAACAAAGCUCCAAAUUAGGGAGGUAGAAAAAUAGAUUGCGGUGAGUGUGGAUCGAACACAUGACCUUCAGAUCUUCAGUCUGACGCUCUCCCAACUGAGCUAUCCCUGUUAUAGCCUGUUGUCUAGGUGCAUAGUCUGCACCGGAAGAUUUGGCAAAUGGCAUAGAAAUUCUUAUUGAACAUAGAUAUAUUGUUCUUGGAAGGAAAGUAUAUAUAUUCAACAAGUUAGUACCACCGGUUGCCCCAACACAUGUGCAUCUGUAGCACCAACAGCUGCUCAUCUGUUGUCAUGCCAUCUCGCAACGACUAUAUGCAUCUGUAGUAAUUCUGACAGAAGAAGCAAUACAUUUUUAUCAACAUGAAAUUUGUUUGGUAAAAUCCAUGAGAACUUCAUCAGUAACCAAUUGAUUGAUACCCCACAUAUGACAAGCAAGCGUGUUCCUUUCCAAAAAACUUCAAAAUGGACAUCACUUUUUCAUGAGUUCUUUCGGGAGUAAAGUAAGGUAAGGUCUUUGGUCACCAUUUACCUACCAUUUUAGUUAGUUCUACAUGUACAACUGAUUCAGCAACUCGAAAGGAAUUCUUUAAAAGGAAAUCAGUUAAGCAACUCGAAUGAAUCCAUCAUGCAUUGGUCUCAAAUCCAAGGAAAUAUGAGCAAAACCUCCCAAAUCUAAACAAAGCACCGAACAUCUUUCAGACGGAAAUUAACUCUUUCAGAACCUUUCAAAAGAUGACAUAUCAAGGAUCAAAAUCGACCACAUAGAUUGAUGACCAAGACUUUAUCCAUUAGUCUGGAUGCCUCAUAUGAUGAUAAUUCCAACCAUGGAACCACAGGUGUGGUGAUCCGUGAUAGCCCACGUACUCUUAUUCAUACACAUGCCCUCUGGUAUGAUUUUGCUGCUAGUCCAAUGGCGACGGAAGCUGUGGUGAUGUGCAAUGGAGUGCACAUGCCUCUUGAGAGGGGGUUAUGUAGAGUAAUGAUUUAGAGUGAUGCACAAGCUGUCAUCAAGCUAUGGGAGUCAUGCGGCUUUGAUCGAGAUUGCUGGAGCCUUGCGGAUUGAAGAACUGAGUGUGCAUUUUGAGAGUUCUAUGCCGAGCUUUGUUGGACAAGAUGCUAGUAUGGCAGCUCAUCUAUGUGCUAAACUGGUGGCCAAGUUUAGGAAGAGAUGUUUAUGGCUUAAUUUUACCCCUCUACUCCUAAUGAACAUAUUGCAUUGUGAUUGUAUGCUUGAUUAAGUAAGCAAUAAAGCUCUUCACUCACAAAAAAGGUAGAAAUUGCAAUGCGGCCAUCCCAGCAUAUCAAAACAUUUCUGGUUGUGGCGAUGACCUUUCUUUUCCAUAUGAUCCUACAAAAUGGACUGGGUUUCACUAUCAAGGGAUAACGAAACGACAAAUGCACAAAAACGUCCUGGUGCAAGAACAUAGCCUAAAACUGGUUUCAAUUGCUAACAACAAAAGCUAAUGGAUCCAAAUCUACUGCAAGUUGACUUGGGGUUCACAAUCAUCCCAAGCAAAAUGUUUUCGAUCACUAGCAUCAUCAUUCAGAAAACUCCAUUGCAUCGUUCCUCAUCCAUUCUUUCUCCAUUAGUUCACCUUCACCCACUUCUUGUUCCUCAUUUUCUCCAGCGUUACUCGCCUUGAUCUUCAACACAAGACUUCUUGGCUCCGCGCACCCACCAACAUGAUGUGCCAAUGCUUCUCGCUUCAAAGCAACAACACCUUGUUCCAGAAUCACACACUCUUCAUUAUUUUGUAGAUCUGCCCAAUAAAGCAUAAACAUGCAUGCAUAAUAGACGAAUUCAGCAAGAAAUCUAGUAAUUUUUUUCUCAAAACAAGAUCUAUUACAUAACUCGGAUGGGAAUGUAGUGGCUUAUCGUGAGGGUGAUGCACUCAUGGACUUGUAGUAGAGCUGGUAGCUGCCACGACAGCUUCCCUAUAUGUGGGUGGCCUUGAGGCAGGCGUCGUGGAGGGGCAUCUCUCCUCCAUCUCCUAUUAGGUCACAUCUAUGGAGUCCCUCAGCGUCUACCAUGACGUUGCUAUCAGGUCCCAUGGCUAUGGCUACUUCAAGUUCCACUCACAGAAUGAUGAUGAGAUCUGAUCUAUUAGAUCCCCAAAUACCUAAAGCAUUAUAUCUCUCUGAGCAUGCAUGCUAAAGGUAGCAUAUCAAACCCAAACGAAUAAGUAAAGAAGACCAAGACACUCACCAUCCUCUUGGGGGUGGAAAUCGAUGUAGCCGUAGCCACACGACCUGUAAGCAACUUUGUGGUAGAUGCGCAAGGAAGCCACGGGCGCGACCUGGUCAUAGAUCUAGAAGAGUUGCCCCUCCGUAACACCUGCCUCGGGGUCAUCAUUGAGGCCAGGAAUGGCUGGUUUGUCAUUGCUGCCGAUGGUCGCCAACCCAAUGGAUCUAGGAGGCGGCG